rnacentral:lncRNA from 1 species
CUCUCUCAUUCUUUCUCUCACACAUGUCCAUUAUAUCUUCUUAGAAAUUGAUUAAUACUUGUUAUUGAAACAGUUUCUUCCGAGGCUGAAAAUUCUUAAUCUCAGUCAUUCGCAUGGCCUUAGGACAACCUCCGACUUCUCAGGACUCCCUAACCUUGAGAGAUUGAUUCUUAAAGAUUGCAUAAAUUUGGUUGAGGUUGAUGAGUCCAUCGGAUACCUAGAGAAACUUGUUGUUUUGAAUCUAGAAGGCUGCAAAAAUCUCAUGAAGCUUCCAAAAUUGAGAUCUAUUCAGGAUCUUAUUCUUUCUGGUUGCUCAAAGCUUGUGCUUGGUGCCAAUACGACUGCCACAACUGGUCACUUACAAUCUACAGCUUGUGAAAUGAAGAAACUCAAUCUGCUAUCAGCUAAAUCAUGGUAUUCAAUCUGGUCGCAGGUGUCGCCAAGAAAAAAUAUUGAACCAAGCAGUUUCUCAUUGGCAAGUUUACCACAUUCCUUGACAAGUUUACGUCUGGAUAGCUGCAAUCUAUCAGAGAUUCCGAGUGCCCUUACUAUGCUGUCUUCGUUAGAGUACUUGGAUCUGUAUAACAAUCCAAUUACAAGCCUACCAGAGAGCAUGAACAAUCUUGUUAGGCUUCACACUCUUGCAGUAGAAGGUUGCAGAAACCUCACAAUGCUUCCAGAGCUCCCACAUAGUUUGAAACAAUUGAAUGGUAGAGGUUGCACAUCAUUGAAAAGAAUAACAAAUUUACCGAACUUGCACAUAUCACCUACCGUAUAUCCCUUCGGCAUGCAAAAGGACUUAGAUUUAAUGCAUUACAAUAUAGUAUUGGACUCAAAUUUAUGGUAUUGUGGGAAACUAGUUGAUGUUGCAAGCUUGUUCAAUACACUACCAUUGAGCAGCUUUGACAUAAAACUCCUCAAAGAUAUGGAUCUAUUCGAUUUGAAACCCAACGGUGGCGUAGAGGUCCAAAGGAACAACGAUUGUGCAAGUUUUAGCAAGCCAAGGCGCUCCAAGGUUCUCUCUCUCUCUCUCUCUCUCUCUCUGCUAUGUACAAGUGCUUAUAAUAUGAUCUCUAUGGCGUAAACAAUUAGAUUGUAAUCGCAGGGAACUUUUGAAUGCGGCAUAAUUAGCAUUUUUGUGCACGAGAGCAAGAUUCCAGAUCGGUUCAAUUACAGGUGGAUGCCUCCAGAUCGGUUCGAUUACAGGAGCAUGGGUAACACUGUGUUCUCUAUUAUUGUUCCUUCACAGCCUAAUAUCAAGAUCGUAGGUUUAAAUGCAUGUAUACUGUAUGCCCGGCAAUCGGAUCGAAGCCCUGUGAUUCCAUUUGGGAUUCCAUUUGGAAACUCUCAUGCCCAUUCGCUUGAACUUAGGAAUGAGACAAAGGGCCUUAAGUGGAACUUAAGAAUGUCGACUGGGGUUGAAUGGAAAGUGAUGAACGAAGAUAUGUUAUGGCUAAGCCAUUGGAUUAUGGGGAACAAUGAAUUGGAGUGCGGGGAAAAAGUGUAUUUUAGACUAACCGAAGAUCAUGACGAUUUAUUCACAAAGGGGAUUGGAGUCCAGUUUGGGUACGAGCAGCAAAAUAAGGAUAAGGAGGAUGUCCCAUCAAGUAGUGAAGAUCCAAUGAUCCUACCUGACAGAUCGCCUUGGGACGGCGGUCACGCUUCCAGCUGGGUAACGGAUUCAUGUCAGAGAUUUAUCGGGCCGAAAUGGAUCGAGAACCUUAAGAAGGAAUCUAUUUCAACUGUCGUGUGCGCGGCUAAUUACUCUCUCUGUAACCAUGAAGUGAUCGACCUUGAGAACGAGUCCCGCAUGACGCCAUGGUAACGAGUGCUCUAAACUAUUACCCAGGUUAAUUCAAAUUGAUGGUGAUGAUGCACAAAUCACUAAAUUCAAAUGUGUAUUGGUUGUUAAGCUUCGUUUCUAUCCAUUUUCAAUUUUCCCUAAAAAAUUGUUUUCAAUAAAACCUGUUUUGAAGAAAAAUAAAGUUUCAGAGCCCAACUAGAAAAUAAGCCCACGAGUUGUGGUGUGAACUAACUGUUUCAGGCGUAACUGCAUGAAUAAGACACAUUUCACACGUAACUGAAUAAAUAAGACACAAAGUGCAAGAAGUAAAGCUCAUAUUUAGCAGUGUUAUUUUAACAACAAUUGUUCAAGUGGUGGAUUGCCCCGGUGGGUAGGGCAUUUCUCUUAGUCCUACUGCAUUCCGGGUUCAAAGUUCCAACCAUCCCCCGUACCAGUUUAAGCACACCAAAGACCAAAUUUAGCAUGUUCUGUCGUCAUCCACCCAACCCAGCAGAUAUACAAAAUUCAAAUAGAACUUGGCAAAUUCAUCCUCUUAAAAUACAAAACGAAAAUAAUUUAUGAUCACUGACCUCUGAGAAUCGAAUGAUAUUCGGAUUCUUCAAUGAUCUGUGGUUCAUGAUUUCCCCUUGAACAUGUUCAUCCAUCUGCAUCACCAAAAAAAAAAAAUAUUUAAAAAAAAUACAAAAUGAAAAUAGUUUAUGAUCACUAACCUCUUUGGAUCGAAUGAUAUUCGGAUGGUCCAGUGAUCUAUGGUUCAUGAUUUCCCAUUGAACAUGUUCAUCUAUCUGCAUCACCAAAAAAUUAAUAAAUAUUUUAAAAAAAAUACAAAAUUUAAAGGAUAAGAAUUGCGAAGAUUCUUAGGUCUUAGUUCGAAAUGUAAUAGCUCAUCUCACCUCCAUAUAUUACCAAAUCUUAGUCUAUAUGAUUUUGCCAGAGCCACCGAAUGUUGAUAUAUAUCUGUUGCAUGUUCUACUACCAUCAACAUUAUAAAGGUUUCUAAUUGAAUCAUAUAUUUAAAAUCCAAGCAUGAAAGUUUUACAAAGAUAAAUAAACAAAUGUAAAUAACUAAUUAGGCAAUACACAGCAGAGAGGGGAGAGAGAGAGAGAGAGAGCAAUUGAAGGGAAUGCAUAGUUAUCUCUAUCUUCGGAAAAAAAAAAAGAAAAAAAGAGAGCAGUUGAAGGAGUGAGAAGCAAAGCAGCAUACCAAGUGGAGAGUAAGCAAUUAAGCAUAGUCAUCUCACGUACGGAUUGCCUGAGAACUGAUCUUUGCUUCUCUUCCUUAUGAUCCUCUUAAAUGCAAUUCUACACAUUUCUAAACCAAAAUUGCAAAGCAGAAUUCAAAGAAAUUUAAAGAAACCUAGUAAAGAUUCAAACUUUUUUAUUAUCCAAAAGAUGUACAUAACCCCAUGUAACAAAAACAAAUUUAUGACACAAAAGAAAUUAUCUUUAGCCACAAAAAGCAAAAAAGAGAAAGAGAGAGAUUUUGCUUUUUGCACUAUGCAGAAUGUGCAGAGAAUCAAAAUAUCAUAACCCAUUUAACAACAUGAUAUUUUAGGCAAAAAGGCAUCACCUUUAGACCCCAAAUGAAAGAAUUUGAGAGAGAGCGCAUACGUGGUUUCCAAGAAGAGGAAGAGAGCAAUUCUAUUUCCUGUAAAAACGAAGAAACAGAGCAUUAACAAACACACAUGCACAAAUCUCAAAAGGAAAUUGGUAAGAAAUAAUCGUAAUUGAGAAAAUAAUUAGAAAACUAGAGAGGACACAAUUGGAGUCUAAUUCUACAGAACCCACGAGUCAAGACAAACAAAUAUCCAAAAUUAACAGAUUACAGUAACAACAUUCCAACAAAAGUAAGAAGACCAGAAAAAUUAUCUAUUCUAAAGUACAUUAGUUCCAUCAUGCAUAAAUCAAGGGAGUCACGGAAGGCCAGUAUCUUAAGGUAAUCCAACAUGUUAAAGCAUCCAAACAGAGACUCAGAAUUACAAAACGCAUGAAAAUUCACAUUCCAACGUGUUAUGCAAUCACCAAUUUCAGAUCAACCAAAACCAAAUAAAUUUAUAUCAGUACGCAUCAAACCCACCAAACCCAAAAUCAAAAGAAGGUGAUCAAAUGUUUGAUUUUGCUAAAUAUUACAAAAUAAAAUAAAUAAGAAUAUGUACAAAUCAACAUGCAUACCUUGUAGCGGUGCAGGGAACAGUAGCGUGAGCUGCAUCGAGGGCAUGUGUACUGGGAAAAUUGCUACUGGCAGCUGCAACUAACAAAAACAAAAACAAAACAAAAUUGAAUAAAAUCAAAAUUGGAAAAAUUUCCAGAAAAUAAAUAAAACAAAUUAUCAAGCUUUGUUGAUGAAAGAGAGGUGGGGUUGGUGAAGAACAUACAUGCGGCUAUGAGCAGUAGAUAAAAGAUUUCAAAAUGAUUUCUUCACUUUUCAAUCAGGACAUGCACGAAUAUAAAAAUGGCAGAGAGGAUUAAAACCAUACCAAACACUAGAAAAUCAAGUAUAAAAAUCGUACUUACCUUGUGAAUGAGGACAUGCAGACACAUGAUGGAUGAAGGACAGCAAAUCCCGCAUACACGAACCUAACUUGCCAUUGUUCGCCACCCCCACCCCUCCCUAUCUCUCUCUCCCUGCAAUCCCAACGAUUUCUCUCACUGUCAUCCUCCCACUCCCGAAUCGAAUAUCCGCACGAAAUCUCUCUCUCUCUCUCUCUCACUCGGUUUCUCUCACUGUCACCCUCCCACUCCCGAAUCAAAGAUCCGCACGAAAUCUCUCUCCCUCUACAAGCAGCAUGGCCGCUGUCCCUCUCUGUCUGCCCUCACCAUCAAUCCCAAUCCCAAAAUUAAGAUGACAAAAGUGCCCUGCAACCCUUUAAUUCUAGCCGCGUGAUCCUAACCCUAGAUGAAUAUUUCUGGAAUUUGAACACCCAAAGUAUCUCAUCAAAUGUGGAUGUACCUGUCAUAGUAUGAAUCUGAGAAUUUCUCAAUUCAACUCUCGAAUUUACUGUGACAGUAAUAAUAUAUCAUGUGGAAAGAGGUGGGAUUAUGGUAAAAGAUAGAACUUUAGCUGAUGGUAAACAACAUUUGGGAAUUUGAUGUAAGCCGGCUGGGAAUCCCAAAUGUUGUUUACCAUAAGUUAAAAUCUAAUCUCUGAUUAAAAAAAUAAUAAUAAAAAGCACACCUCAAACUGAUAAGGACCAUAAUUUUCAAGGGACACUGCUUUUCAAUGGUUACCAUAAAAAAAAAUAAUGAAAGAACUGAUCAUUUGAAUUAUUCAUGACAGAACCAAUUUUGAUUUGAAAUAUGAUGGCCAAGAACAAAUCACACUGCUUUUCAAUGGUUACCAUAAAUUUUCAGAAGUUACAGAAGAUUUUUUAUCAAUUGAAAAGACAAUGGUCACAUAUAUCUACAAUUAACCACCAGUAAGCGUGAAAUACUACAUCACAAUGCAAUAGCAGCUAUACAGGAUGUCAUGCCAUUCAUACUAUGACAAAUCACAAAAGUGACAAUUAAAGGGCACCUAACAGACACCCCCAUCUCUCUCUCUCUCUGCAAUAGCAGAAAUCCCUCGGGUUUCAGGAAGCAAAUGGAAAACAAAAUGCUUUUACAUCCCCUACCCAUACCCAUACCCCUCCCUUACCCAUUCCCUUUACCCUUGCAGAAAAUCCUCCCAUCUCUCUCUCACCCUUGUCCCAUCUCUCUGUCUGCAAAUCGCAGAAAAGAAACCCUGAACAAAUCACUGAAAUCCCUCGCCUAAAUCCUCCCACAUUUCUCUCAGACACCCUCUAUCUCUCUCUCUCUUUGCAAACCCUAAACCAAAUCUCCUAAAUUCUAUCUCGGACACCCCACAUACAGCCAAGAAGCCAAGAUAUUAAAGCAAUCUCUACAUAAUACUUUGGAACAAUGAAGCAAAAUGGUACUUACUUGUUCCUUGUCCAAAACCGUUGGUGCCGCCGCACAUUGUUAUUAAUUGUGGGUUGAUCAAAUCCUUCAUGGCUUAGACUGCAUGAAGAAUUAGAAACUAAAAGAUGAAUAUAUGCUGUAAAUCAUCAUAUAAAUGUAACUGCAUUUAAAAAAAGAAGGGAAUGAAAAAUUGAAUUCUAUUUCAUCAGUAUGUAACUGCAUGAAAAGUUACAUUGAAUGCAGACUCAAUCAAUUUCCCCAAAGUCAUUGUUAACUGAAAAUCAAUAUCAAACCCAUAAAUACCACCAUUGAAUUUGCGAAACCCAAAAACAAAAUACAAAAAUUUACUCAUAUAAUCACAGAAAAACAUGAAAUUUGAGCACAUAUUUGGCAAAGUUAAAGGAUAAAGGCACUCACAUCAUCGUAGUACUCUUCGGGAAGAACUUCUAAUAAUGGUUCUUCCUUUUUCUUGCUCUUCCUCAGAGCUGCCAUAAAAAAACCCAGAGAAGCACACAAAUUCAGAAAAGAAAAGGUCCAAAACAGCCAUAAAAAAUCCAGAAAGCAUACAAAUUUAUCAGAACAAAAACCAAAUGAUGUGAGAUAGUGAGAGGUUGUGUUAGGCACCCGUAACACGUUUUGGUUUCAAUUAAAACGGCCAGAGCGUUGCAUGCGAGGAAGAUGACGAUAGGAUUCCAAACACAACAUCCACAUUCUUUUUUCUUGGGUGAACUAACCAAAUCAUAUUAUAUACUAAAAUGACAUAAAAAAUCAUUCACAAAAUCACAACAAAAUAGAACAAAAACAUUCACAAAAGAAUUCCCCAAGUUUUCAAAUGGAAAUUAAACAUUUACAUAGCUUAUAUAAAAAGCCGAAAUAUAAAAAUUAAUCAAAAGGUUGAGAUAACUCACAUCCCAGUAAUGCUUAUUGCUGAUAUUAACACCCACUGACAGCAGCCCUCGGUUUGUGGAAUUCCCACGCCCAACUCCAUGACCUCUGUCUCUGCCAUCCCUCUUUCCCUCACAACCAUACCCACUUUCGACCCACCCCUCAAUCCCGACACCAACCCUUGAUUUAAGGAGGAAAAAUCAAUCCAACCACCCUUUUCGCAAGCCUCACUCCUCCCUCUCCCUUCCCCUCCCUGCCAAUCCCAUGCCCAUCUCCCUCGUUGUAGCUCAGCAACCCACGUUUUUUGGCACCAAACACUAUGUCCUAGGAUGAUGUGACAAUUUAUCAAAGUCAGAAAAUGCAUUAUCUCAGUUUAGGUUGGUAGCAUAUAUGAUCCCUGUGCAGCAACAUAGAAUACUUAGUAAAAGUUGCAUUUCUGAGAACAAAUAACCAAUGCUUGACCGAAAAAACAAUGCAGAUGCUUUAGUAUACAGAAUUACAGUUUUAUUCAAGCUUCUCAGUCACAAACUAACCUUCCUUUGUCGAGCAGCAAGGAGGAGGGGGAGAAAAUUGAUUCCUGGAGGAGCUUUUUCGUUCAAAACUAAGUCAAGCUGCAAGGACGAAGGGUCGAGGAUUGUUCGUGAGCUGGUGUUGCGGAUAUAAACAUAUAGAAAGCUCCACUGUGUCAUAACAAACACAAAUUGAAUAUGAUCACCAUGUCACAUUAAUUACCUAAAAUUCAAAAUGUUAUAUACAUUAGUAUGUUGAAAAAAUUAGUUACAUUUCAUUAAACUAAAAAAUUUACAGAAUAUGAGAAAUAAAGAAUUUGUAUUGUUUAUAUAAAAAUAGAAUAACAAAGAACAUCAUUGACUACCAUUUUAUUCGGUAGUUUCCUCCAACUGCAAUUGUUGAGAUUGUAGGAGAUCUUCGAAUAAAGCCUUCAAUUCAACCAUCCGUACACAAACAUAAUAGACAAUGUUUUUUAGCGAAUUAUGGACAAAGCUUAAUAUUCAAAUGCAAUGAAGUGGAAAACACAAUCCAAUAUAUGGAUAUGCAUGCUAUAGGAAACCAUUCAUUUGUAGAUGGUAUUGUGUCACCAAUAUUGUAUUUAAAAAUCUACCCAAGAUAAAGAUGCAAUAUAUAGUUUGGUAAAAAAUCAAAACGAAGAGUUAACAAAGGAAAAGGAUUAAGACGUUGAAAAUACAAAACUGGAUUCUUUUAUUUGGUAAAGACGGUUCCCCCACUGGCUGUCUGAAACCACAAACACUUUUUACAUAGAAACUUUAUAAACUAAUAGAUUAAAAUAAAUCUAAGUGUUAUAAAUGAAAAAUCCUGGGAUUGAUAGUAAUGGCAUCAACAGUGCCACCACAUCCCAAAUAAAUGAAUGAAAAUAUAGUGAUUAACAUCCAACAAAGAAGCUCAAGCUUGAAAUAAACCAAGGCAUAAAAGCUUACCAAACUUUUCAAAUGGCUAAAUUGUUCAUUUAACAUGAUAACUUCUUCCUGCAAUCCAUAAGUAAGACCAUUAGAUGCGGUAAACAAAACAUCAUACUUCAUAUAUGGCAAUCUAGCAGAGAAACCAAUUGCAUUCAGAUGGAGCCUAAUUUGUGGAACUACAUUUAUAUGCACUGAAAUGCAUUAUCAUGUUGUCAUAUUUAAAAACUGAGGUUUAUGCAGUAUGCUAUCUUUAGCAUACACAAAAUUUUUGCCCCUCAUUUUUGAAGUUCCGCACUUCAUAAUUUAUAUACUUUCAGUUUCCCUUCUAAUGAAGGUAUGGACUGCUUUCCAUUUGGAAUUUUCGUAAGACAAUGUUAUGAUAUUCCUAAUUUAGAAUGUGUUUCCACUCUAAUGAAUGCAAGCCCUAAAUCAUAAAUAUUGUACAAUUAUGUGUUUGAGCACGUGGCAGGGCAUGAGAAUCAGAACCACUCCGUGUUGUUCUCCGCUUCGUGAUUUGGUCAUCAAACAAUACUUCAUUCCCUCCAUCCUUUAUCACGUCUUCUUGGUGAUCAUUUGUCCAUCUCCAAACUGUAUCCACAAAAAACUACAAAUUAAUCCCAAAAACAAUCAUACAAAAAAAUUGCGGAUUAGAUUUGAUUACGUACCAUUUUCCCAGGAUGUAGAGCUCAGUGAUGAUGCCCUCCUCGCUUUGCACCUUAAACAUCGACAUUUUAAACCAGAAACCAAAAUCAAACAAACAUAAAGAAAUACGACUGACAGAAUCACACUGUAAGACACCACUCCCUCGCUUCCACGGUUCCAACCACAACACCAAAAACAACAAUAACAAUAAUAACAAUGUACACUCAGACAAAACAAAAAUGCACCACAGCCCUCCAGUGCUAUAACAGCACUUCUCUUCUAGGACAACUUUGAUAUCUAUGGACUGUUCCCUUCUCCAUGUUACAACGAUAGUAUUAGAGCUCUUACAACAUCACAGAUGCAUGACCAAGAGUGUAUUCGACAACCUUUUCUCUGAUCCUUUUCAUCAGUUGGUCCUAAAGAUUGUAUUCUUCUAAAUUCAUCUUCUUUUUGGGUAUCCAGAGACAUUUAUCACUUCAUAUGCCGAACACAAAACACCUAACAUUUUGGGUGACAAAUUAGAAGCAACUAAUCGGAAUAUGGGUACUGAGAAUUGAAUUACUCUUUGUUCUUAUAGUCCUAAUGGAAAUUACUCGUUGAUUCACAAAAUUAAUCAAACUAAAAUGCAAGAAAAGCAAAAUCAACAACCCAUACAGAAUUAUGAAAAGAUCCCAACAAACCAACCAAACAAUUAACAUUUAAAAAAAAAAAUUGCAAAGUUGGAGGGAAAGAAGCACGAGAAAAAAUAUACACAUCCAAUGCUUUUAAUCUAAAGCUAGAAGUAGGAAUAACUGAGUAAGUUAAUGAAGGCAAAGCAGAGGGUAGGAAGCAGAACAUACCAAGAGACCAAUAGGGCAUCCGGGCCGGUCUGCCGAUGAACGCCGUGUCCUGGUCGACAACGCCCAACGGCGUCGGCCCUGCAAAGAAGUAAAAGUCGAAAACACUCCCAAUGACCUUGUAGGUGAGAGAAGUCCCUCUGUAGAACACAUCCAUGCCAUUGCUGUUGAUCAGCAUAACAGAGUGCGCGUAAGCCUCGUUGCCCACAUUCUGGAGAUCCAUGUAAAACCGGGUGGGACCCGUACAAAUCAGUGUUGAGAUUGAUCGCCGAGACUUCAGUGGUGAAGAGGGUGUGUGGAUCGUUCGGGUAGAGCUUGAUCCCGUGCGGCUGAGUGUUCUCUCCGAGGCCGUACAGGGAGGCGUCUUUCGGCGGUCGGGUGGAUAUCUCGAGGUACUGGUCCUUAAACACCAGUUCGCCAUAUGGGUCUUUGGAGUAGGAGCUCAAAUGAAGAGGACCUGCCCGUUGGACUUCCUCUUGAAGGCGAACCCAAAUGGGUCGGAGAUGAAGCUGAGAAUGAGCUCAGAGCCGGAGUAGUCUGAGACUUCGAUGGGGUUCUUCGUCUUCGCCUGAAACACGUUUUGGUUUCAAUUGAAAAGGCCAGAGCCUUGCAUGCGAGGAAGAUGACGAUAGGAUUCCAGAGAUAGAGAAAGAAGGAGUAAGACGACGGAGGCGAGAGAAGGAAGACGGCGGCAAGAGGAGGAUAGGACGGAGGCGAGACCAUCUGUAUCGUAGGUCUGUGAGACGUACAAGGCAAGGAGGGUUUGAGAAGGAAACGGAAAAGGCCUGCUUUACCAUUGCUAUUCCCUUCCCGCGAUCAUCAAGGCGUGCGCAACAAGAUCAGCGGCAGAGAGAGUCUGUGGCAAAUUUGUAUAUAAAUUGAAAUUCAUCCCAAAACAUUGUUCAUUUGAAUAAUGCAAUUGGAAUCCCUUCUUUAGACAAAAGUAAUUUUUAAGUAGAAUGCCAACUUAGAUUUUGAGGAAAACUAAUGAAAAUGACUUGAAAACUUUGAGUUUUAAUGAUAAGGACAAAAUAAAUGGUAAAGUGAAUAGUAUCAUAAUUGACUUUUUAGUGUAAAAAUAUGAUUUUUCGUUAAAAUGAAUAUUACCGCGGGUUUUUCAUUAAAACUCCCUAGAUUUUAUGCAAACCAAAACCUUACCAUUAUUCAUACUUGCCAGAAGGCCUCAGAAGUCUCCACUAAAAUGCUUCCCUAAGCACAAGUACAUAAUAAUGCCACUGACAACUAGCUCGUCGAUCACCUCAGCGCUGCGGUUAAUGCUUUCGGCGCCACUUUUACAUUUCACUCUUAGUAAGAUGAGAUGAAGACGGGUUCUCAGAAGAUCCAAUUCCGGUAUCUCAAUUCAAUUGCGCAAUUGUUCCUCGUUGUAACUCGAUCUUGAGUAUUGUACAACCAUCAUAUUGCCAACAGCCUUUGAGUCCCGACUACAAGCAGAAGCAUUUACCAAGUUGUCACAAGGCCCGUCAAUACUGGCAGUGUCAUCAGCGGAGGAUGAGUGAUUAAUCGUGCUUCUGUUCUUGUUUUCAGUUUCCAUUCUAUCAUUUUCUGUAAUGACACCUAGAGUUUCAGCCGCUUCAACCACUUGCGAUUCAACAGAUGUCUUGCAAAUAACAGCGGGAUCAAUAUCAUGGCUGUGGUAAUCAUCAGGAUGAGUUACUUUGCAUUGCUCUACAAACUCCAUUGUUGAGGAAAGGAUAUUCAUGUCCUUGUCCAUCGUAUUUUCUUGGCUAUUUCUAUUUAAGAUGUCAUCCUCAAAUCCGGUUGGAUUAGUGCGAGCAUCAUCUGCAGGAGACAGGUCUUCAUCUAUCUGUUAAACAAUGACCUGUGUUUGCUUUCAGAGAAGACACUGCUAGACACAACCUCGUCAACAGAAUGCAACCCUAGUGGGGAAAUGCAGAUGAAAGAGGGAUCAACUUUUCAUCGCCAGUAAUUUCUUCUCCAUAACUCUCAUUACAUACGCCAUUUCCACGUGCUACCACAUUACUCGGUUAGGUAGCCACUACCUUUGGUUCUCUCAGCAGCUACAUCUCCAUUACCACAGUUAUUCGCAUUUGGAGAUAAUACUUCCUCAUUUAUUGGAUCCUCAUUUACUAAUCCUUGAUCUCGAUUGGCAAAAGAUGCCACAUUUAUAGUGGUAUCAUUGCUUUCCAAAUUAACUAGUCCACUUAAUUGCUUCUGUACAAAGACUGCUAAAGAAACAGCAUGAUCACGAAUCAAAGAAUCAUGAGACGGGUAGUGUAGCAUAUCGAUCAAGGCCUUAUGGUACUGUGUGGCAGAUAUUAAUAACUUUGAGUAUAUGUUCACACAGGUUGCCCAUUUCUGCCCAAUGGCAGUUGCAAAUACCAAACUCGUCAAUAACUUUUGCACGAGUACCUUCUAUGAUAAUAUUGCAGUUAAGAAUCUUCAAAGCUUUACGCCAAGAUGUUAAACCACUCGCCCACUCAUCUUUCCAAUAUUGUGCAAAAUCAUCAUUCUCAGAAUAUUCAUCAAGCCAGAAGAAGGAAUGCACUUUUGUACCCAGCUUAUUAACCAACCAAUCAACUCGUUUUUACACUCUAGGUUUAUUCUCGUUCAAUAACCUAAGCUUUAGUGGCUGUGCUAGAACUCCAUUGCCGCAGAGGUUUCCUAGCUAGCAAGAGGAAGAGUUUGUAGUGCAGAUACCCACAUCCCUGAGUCAAAAGACAUUUUUCUUGUGCGAGUUAUUCAAGAUAAAGCAAAAGAAAAUUAAGGACCCUGUUUAAAGAGAAGGGGGUGAAGGAAUUAAACGACACACUUGUUACUUCGUAUCAUAAGGCAAAAUAUACCUCUACUAAAGAUGAUAGUAACUUAGCUAAUUCUAGGAUACUAAGUUGCCUUAAAGUAAUCUAUAAAAUCUUAUUCAUCAAGAAAAUCUUCUAUGAAGUCCUCAGACAAACGCUCGGCUCCUCGUUGUUGACAGAUGUUAUCCACUGCUUGACGAAGCCUUCUUGACAUUGUAGCUCGCAUCUCAUUGUCCACACAUUUCUUUACUAAGUUUGUAUGCCAUGCAUGAGGAACCCGCCAAAAGCUUAUCAACACUGAACACUGAAAUACAUCCCUGAGUAUAAUGAAAUAAAACUGUCAGUAUCAAGUUUGGGCGAGGACUGAGCAACCAACAGGAUGGUGAGCACAUCAGCUAGAGGAUCAUCCACUAUGAAACUAGCCAACUUCCAAACAGGAUCUUUCGUUUCAAUUCUAUUGUGAAGAGCUCUCAUCCAUUUAUGGGCAUUGGAACUUCCAAACUUUGGAGCCACUAUCCACGCCACCGGGAUAGUAAUAAUGUUGCAUGUCACAUCCCGGCCCGGGACAGAUCACUUCCCGGGCCCACUCCACCACCAUAGCACGAUAUUGUCCGCUUUGGGCUUACCAUUCCCUCACGGUUUUGUUUUUGGGAACUCACGAGCAACUUCCCAGUGGGUCACUCAUCCUAGGAGUGCUCUGGCCUCCUUCUCGUUUAACUUCGGAGUUCCUAUGGAACCCGAAGCCAGUGAGUUCCCAAAAGGAGUGAGUUCUCAAAAGGCCUCGUGCUAGGUAGAGAUGGGAAUAUACAUUUAAGGAUCACUCCCCUGGGCGAUGUGGGAUGUCACAAUCCACCCCCCUUAGGGGCCCGACGUCCUCGUCGGCACACCACGGCCAGGGUUAGGCUCUGAUACCAAUUUGUCACAUCCCGGCCCGGGGCGGAUCACUUCCCGGGCCCGCUCCACCACCAUAGCACGAUAUUGUCCUCUUUGGGCUUACCAUUCCCUCACGGUUUUGUUUUUGGAAACUCACGAGCAACUUCCCAGUGGGUCUAUCCUAGGAGUGCUCUGGCCUCCUUCUCGCUUAACUUCGGAGUUCCUAUAGAACCCGAAGCCAGUGAGUUCCCAAAAGGCCUCGUGCUAGGGUAGAGAUGAGAAUAUACAUUUAAGGAUCACUCCCCUGGACGAUAUGGGAUGUCACAUUGCAACAUGAACAUAUUCGGUUUCUCAUUAUUAUUAACAAUUGUAGUUAAUAAUAAAAGGUUAAACAAACUAAACGGACCUUCAAUUUGGUUGUUCCGAACCUUGAAUCAGAAAGCUAUAAGGCUGUGAUUGCCGAAGCAAAUCAUCUGUUGCAACUGCCACUCUGUUUGAAUGCCCAAAGUGAAAGGGUCCACAUAAGAGAAAUCCUAAUAGAAGAAAACAUGACUCUGAUGGUUUUCUACCCACAUGCUAAUGCUAACCGCAUCAUCAGCAUCCAAUUCAUAUAUAGAGCAUCGAAUGACCCUCUCCUGCCUCGAACAUACCUAUAGGUUAAAAGGUCAUCACGGUUAGAUGGACCACCCUGUUUCUCUACAGAUUCAUCGUGUCUCUGCAUUAUAGUCUCCACAGAGACCCCCGCAUAUAACAAAGAUUGUACACGAAGAAGCAGAUCCUCAGAGAUACAAGGGGCAAAUAUAGCACGUGUUCCAGCAGCCAUCUUAUCUUGUGGACCAUGGCAUGGCACUCAUUUCCUAUCUACAUGCUUAUCCUGAUUAUAUAUGAUACGCGCCACUAAAGAAUACCUAGAAUACCAUCAACCUUUGGUUUGUUAGGCGUCUAUGGCUGCCGCCGUCGCCUCGCUUCAACAUGAAAUCUUGUUGGACAUUCUUUAUUAGAGCAUUCACCCCUCAGAAAAUCGUCAACUCUAGGAAACGGAAUUAGAGCAACUCCAUCUUUCUUGUCCCGCCAACCUUCCACCUUUGACCACACAAGAUCAGAAGAAGAAAACUCCAGUGCAGGUGGACUCUGCACAGGAAGGGACAUAAUCUCAUCCCAUCUAGCCAUCUACAACAAAUAAAACGGAAAUGACAAAUUUAAUACAAUAGUCAUUUUAACAGAAGAAUCAAGACCAAAAUCCCAAUAGUCACACUCACACCUAACCCUUAACUAUUAGUUGAAUAAAAGGUUUUUCUAAUCGAAAAAAUGAACAAAAAUGGCGGAUUUUGCAACUGGCUUCGUAAAAUCACACGUUAAUAACAGUAAUAGAGGUCCUUUUUACUCUAAGCAGUACAAAAGAAAGUCAAAAACUUCAUAUCUGAUAACAAGAAAACAAACAAACAAACAAAAAAGAAGAAACAAUUUAAUUCAUGCAAUACAUUUCAUUCCCAACAAGAGAAGUUCAAAACUUUAGCAAACAAUUAAACUGAUUUCGUCUCUGUUUUCAUAAAUUCUCAGAAAUUAACAGUCGAAAAACACAAAUUAAAGGAAAAAAAAAGUGAAAUUCUUUGGGUUGUCAAAUAGAGAAAUUAUAUUCACACACCCAAAAUUUCUUCCACACAUUUUUAAUUUUUAUUUUAUUUUCUACACACUACUAACACUUGAUAGAAAAAGAUUAAAAAAUUAAAGGAUGUGAGGGAAGUAAUUUAGGAUGUGUGAAUAUAAUCUCCCUUUUAGAUAAGUGAAGUCGUUAGCUUCAGAGUCACACAUUGAGCUAUAUCGAUAUGUAUAGUAUCACGCCCUUUAUGCAAAAAGAUCCCCAUUUUUUCAAAAAAAUGGGGAUUAGGUGUAGGUCCACUCCACAACGAACUUUAAUGAUCUGAAUCGUUUAUUUUGUAAGGAACCAAAUCCCCUGCGGAUCCCUAAAAACUGAGCCUUCUGAGCAAAGAAUUAGGACAAUUGAAAUUUGAUCAAACGGUUACAAACAGGGCCCCUCUAAAAGUUAUAAUAAUUGUAGUCAUUGGAUUAAAUUUCAACGGCCCAAAUUCAUUGCUCAGGGGGCUCAGUUUUUGGGGAUCCAAUUCCAAUUUGUAAGUCUCAUUUCAUAGAUUAUUCUUACAAGAAUUCAAUUCAAUCCAAAAUCAUUUAUCUAUUUUGUAAGUCUCAUUCCAUAAAUGUCAUUAUAUCAUCAUUUCACGUGCUACCACAUUAUUCGGUUCAGCAGCCACUUUACCCUUGGUUCUCUCAGCAGUUACAUCUCCAUUCCCACAAUUACUCAUUUGAAGAUAAUACUUCCUCAUUCAUUGGAUCCUCAUUUCCUAAUUCUUGAUCUCGAUUGGUAAAAGACGCACAUCCAUUGUGGUAUCAUUACUUUCCAAAUUAGCUAGUCCACUUAAGGGUGCGUUUGUUGCACUGGAAUGUCUCGGAUUGGACUAGCUUUAGGAACUAAGCUGGAUUGUCUUAGAUUAGCUUAAUGAAGCAUUUGAUGCAGUAUCGGACUAAAAAGUAGGAUAAAAAUUAAUUUUCCUUUUUUUUUUAUCCAAAAACAAAGAACUCUAUCUGUCUCUCCAUUUUCUUUGGUCAAACUAUCUCUCCUCCUUUUUCUCCAUCUCUUCCAUUUUCCUUUCCCGUCCAAUUCCUUUUUCCUUUUCUUCUCGAUCACAAAUAUACACAGUUCACAUGCAAACCAAUUUUCCAUCAGACCAAACAACACCCAUCACCUGCCUUAUCAAUCCAACAAAAUUCCCAAACUUUCCCACCCUAAAAUUUGACAAUUCCAUUCAAAUUAAACAAAAGUUAGAGCUGGAAAACUGAGGAAAGAAAAAGAGAGAGAGAGAGAGAGUAAACGGAUCACCAAUAGUAGGAGGCGGCAACGCCAUAUAGUUUGAGGACGAGCAGUAGCGUAAAGGAGAAGAGGAGGCUAUGGGCCGCCAAGGCCUGCACGAACUUCAACAUUCUCCGCUAGUUCAUCAUCAUCGUAAAACAAUGUCGUCCGCUGCAAAAGUCGAGACUUUAGAUUGUGAGAAAUCUUAGGAGGAGGUUGAUGUUUCAGUAUACGCCAUUGAAACGAAAGAGGCAAGAAAUAUUCUUUCUCUCCUUCUUCUUUUUCAUCGUUCGGGUUGACCUAGAUGGCAAAAAAUCCCAAAUCACCAACCCAGAUGCCAAAAUGGCGCUGGGUUUGCAGGACGAUGGAGAUCAGAGACAACCGUUUCUGGAGAAGGGGGGUUAAUGCUACUCAUGUGGGUUCGUAGGACGCUGCUCGCAUACCAGGGAGACGGGACUAGCAAUCCCGUUGUUUUUGGGGGGCCUCGCUAAGACCUCCUAGUGAGGGAUUUAGUCGAGGCGAGUCCUCCUUUGUCCCAUUUACCUUUAGUCCCGCCAGUGAACAAACAUGGAUUGCACUAACUUUUAACUUAAGCGUCGAGUGAGAACUAAAGAAGGCAAACAAACACCCCCUUAAUUGCUUCUGUACAGAGACUGCUAGAGAAACAGCAUGAUCAAUUGAUUUUGACGGAGUUCUUCAGCUUAAUUUAUUAGUUUUGGAUUACAUUGCUCUUGUUUAAACUUUCAAGUAAUCUUUUUCCAUAUGAUUACUUCUAUUUAAGGGCUCAUGGCUUGGGAAUUGUUAUGCUAUUAUCACCUAAAUGCUCAUGUAAAUUGAAUUCGAUCAAAUUUUUACUAGAGUAGUCGAAUUUCUAUUAGAGUUGUUCUUAGUCAUGUUUGAAUUGCCAUGUUUAUCUUAUAUUUUCUUGAUGCAAACCUGGUCAUUUUUUUAUCUAUGCAUCCAGAGCAACAAUCAUGUGAUUUCUUGACAAUGAAUUGGACUUGUUUUUUUUUUUUUUUUUUUUUUGCACUUUAGUUGUUUAUAGUAACAAAUUCACUUGAUCAAUUGAUAUGUUCUUUCUGUAUAUAUAAAAAAUAUGUGCUAAAAUUCUUAAGUGUGUAUCAAUACACACACACACACACACACACACACACACACACACACACACACACACACAUAUAUAUAUAUAUAUAUAUAUAUAAUUGUAUACACAGAUGGUUAAGAAGGAAAGUAAUGGGGCAAGUGGAUCACAACUGCCAGCUGUAUGGAAUGCUCACAAUACAUCACUAUUUUGUGACGUGUGUAUCAAGGAAGUGGAGGCAGGAAAUCGUCCUGGUACCCACUUUAAAAAAGAGGGAUGGGAAAAUGUGAGUAUUAACCUAAAUAAAGAGACUGGAGAUGAGUAUAGUAAACAACAGCUAAAAAAUAAGUGGGAUGCACUUAAAGAGCAAUGGAAAUUAUGGAAAGAACUAAAGGGAAAAGAAACUGGUCUAGGAUGGAAUCCCAAGCUCAACACCGUUGAUGCUUCGGAUGAGUGGUGGCAUAAUAAAAUUCAGGUUUGUAAGCUUCUUGUUAGUUUCUGGAUGUUGUUUGUCUAUUAUUGAGCUUGAAUGCAUUUUAAUACUUGUUUCUUUAAAUUGCAGAUCAACAAAAAAUAUAAAAGUCUGCGUAGAAAAGGAAUUAGCCCUGAUAUGGAAGAUAAGCUAGAUAGGAUGUUCAUGAAUACCACUACUGGUGAUCAUGCUUGGGCACCCUCGUCUGGUGUACUUCCAUGUGAAAAUAAUGAUGAAUCUGAUGAGGAUGAUGGCAUUCAAAUUGACAGUAGUGAUUUUGAUGAUGUUAUCCCACUCAAAAAUACUCAAGCCGAUGAGAAGUAUUUGGGGAAGAAGAAAAAAAGAACUCAACAAUUUGAUACACAAGUUAAGAAAGAGAAUAAGGAUAAAGGAGUUGUUGCAAAGAAGGGGAAAUUGGGAGGUGCUGCUAAGUUGUCAGAACAGAUUGAUCGUAUGGUUAGUGCAAUUGAGAGUAGAAAUACAACAACUUCAAACAUGGCCAAGGGCUUACAAAAUAGUAGCAUUGCUGAAGUGAUGAAGAUAGUUUCAUCUUUACCUGGUGCAGGGCCUGGGAGCCCUUUGUGGUUAUUUGCAACUCGAUUAUUUCUAAAACAAGAGAAGAGAGAAAUGUUCUUAACUAUAGAAGAUCUGGACAUCAAGUUUCAAUGGCUUAACUAUGAGCAAGCUGAAAAUUAAGUGCCAUGUGAUGCAUUUAGUUUGCAAAGUUUUAUAUUUCGUGGUAGACAGUAUAGUCUAAGAUAUCUUUAAACUUGAGUUUAUUAUUUUGAUUUGUCAUUUGGGAUGGUUACUUGGAUUUCUUUGUGUUUUACUUGGGAUUAUAAUUGGAUGGUUUUGGAUUCUUUAUUUAAGAAUAAUUUUUUUUCAUGCAUGUACUCCUAUUUGUAGGAAUAAUGAUGAGAUUUUUAUUUUUUUUUCAAAAUUGCAGAUCUCUUUCAAGAUAUGGACAUCUUGCAAGAUGAGGAAGAGUUCAACCAAACUGUAUGCCUUUGUGUUCGUACUAUAGAACAUUAUUAUCAAACAUAUAUCCACAAAACACCUUGUAUGGAUUCAUCUCAAACAGGAUAUAAGUGGUUAAUGGAAAUAUUACGGGGAAAGAGGCGUUGUCAUAGGAUGUUCAGAAUGGAUAAAGAGGUAUUUAUGAGAUUGUGUAGUGACCUGCAAAACAAGUAUGGAUUGAGGGGUUCAAGGAGAAUGUGUCCUGGUGAAAUGUUAAGAAUGUUUUUGUUUAUUCUAGGACAAGGUGAAGGGAAUAGGUCAGCACAAGAACGAUUUCAACACUCCGGCGAGACUGUGAGCAGAUACUUUAGUCAGUUACUUGAUAUUGUAUGCCUUAUGGCUGUUGAUGUUAUCAAACCACUGGAUCCUAUGUUUAAUGGUGUCUCUGCAGAGAUAUUAAGCGACUCUAGAUAUAUGCCCCACUUUAAGGUAAAAAAAAAACUAGAUAUGAUACUUCUUGCUUUGUCUUAUGAAUUAAGUUAUAUUUAUUGAAAAUUGUGUUAUAAUAUUAUUUGCAGAACUGUAUUGGUGCUAUUGAUGGUGUACAUGUUCAAGCCACAAUACCUCCCGGAGAUCAAAUACCAUAUAUUGGCAGGAAAGGGACACCAACUCAAAAUGUAAUGGCCGUAUGUAAUUUUGACAUGCAAUUCAUCUUUGCAUGUGCAGGUUGGGAAGGAACUGCACAUGAUACAAGGAUAUUUUUAUCUGUUUUACGAAACGGUGCUUUAAAUUUUCCUAAGCCUCCUAAUGGUAAUGUCUCAAACUUGUGCAUAUGUUUGAAAUUUUGCAUUUGAUUAGACACUUUUUAUAGUUUCUUUUUAUAUCAUAGUAGCAUGUUUUGAACAUUACAGGAAAAUAUUAUCUUGUGAAUGCUGGGUACCCACAGAUGAGCGGCUAUUUAGGACCCUAUAAAGGUGAAAGGUAUCAUCUUCCUGAUUUUCGUAGGGGCAGAGAACCAACAGGAUCUAGAGAGGUAUUUAACCACAUACACUCUUCUCUUAGGAGUGUCAUUGAACGCACUUUUGGUGUAUGGAAAAAGAGGUGGAGCAUUUUAAGAGACAUGCCUAGUUACUCAUUUAAGAAGCAAGUAAAGAUAAUAAUCGCAACUAUGACGCUUCACAAUUAUAUAAGAAGGUAUGCCCGACGUGAUAAUCAUUUUGACAACAUGAAGGAUGACUUGGAUGAUGACACAAACUCGGAUGAAGAACAAGAAGAAUAUCAUAUUACCGAAGGACCCGAAGCACAAGAAAUAGAGACAUUGAGGAACAACAUUGCUGCAAGUUUGAUGUGUUCGUAAUUUUUUUUAUGUAUGCUUAUUUUAUUUUAUUAUUGUUUGAAGACAUUGAAGAAAAUUUUAUUUAUUUAAUAUUUGUUGUUUUUUUUUAACUUUUGGCAAUGCAACUACAAAUGUCAAAAUAAUUUGAGGGAAAAAAGAUUAGAUAUACUUGUGAGUCAUCUUUUUAACCAAAAAGUUAAUAGAAAACUAUUUUUCUCAUUACUUUAGUCUAAACUAGAAAAUGUGCCCGCGCGAUGCUGCGGGACUUAAAUGCAUCACCUUUAACUACAUGAAUAAGAUACAUUUCACCUAAAUAAAUUCAACACAAUCAUGAAUGAAGAGAGGAAUAGAUGAGUAAAUGGGGUCGGUAAGAUAUGCAACUUCGUUUUUAUAUACAUUGAACUGAACUCACAUGAAAAGACAUUGUACAAUGAACAGGACGAAACUGAAUGUUUUGGUUCCCUAAACUGAAACCCCUUGUCUCAGACACCCAACACCUCUCACCCUCAGAUAGCCCUAAACGAAGUGCCUCGUAGCAUCGAAUUGGCCUACAACACCCCCGAGCGAGAUUGAGACUACUUUUCAUAUUUUCAUUUUAAUGUACCAGCAAGGAAACGAUAGUAUAUUCCAAAAUUAGCAGUUUACAGAGAAAUAUAAAUAUUGUUUUCAAGAAAUUAAUAUGAUUGCAAAUGUAAUAGCUCCAUGCAUAGUGAGGUAGGAUAAAUGAUGGAAGACACACUGAAAUUUGAGGUCCAUAGGUUGAGAAGAGUCCAUAGCAUUGAUCCAGAUAUGGAUAGCUUGCACAGAUCUACAAUUCAAGCUCCGAAUAAAGUAUCAAUUUAUCAGCAAUUGUGACAUUCAUUAUUCCUAAAAAAGUUAUUGAUUCACAAAUAAACAAAUGAAAGUAAUCAGAAAAGAAACGCUUACCACAUGCUAGCUGAAUCCGAACUCAAAAUGACCACGAUAUUUUCCCAGCAAUGAUCACAAAGAGAUUGAUGCUUGGGACUUCUGUCCAUCCCUGAAAACAAUGGAAUAAUAUACCCAUUAAAAAACGUCACAAAAAGAUUUACAGUAACUGUCCCAACUAUUAUAAUUAUAUGGUCUUAUUGGCAUAUUCAGACUACAAAAUAAAAGCUGGCAGUUGUUUGCACUCGUAAACAAUUUCUCUUUACAAAACUAAAUAAAUUGUAAUGACCCAAGAAAUCAAAAUUUGAUUAGGCAUUAGAAACAAUGUUACCUUUUGGAGAAAAGGAUGCUCAACCAAAUGGAAGCCCAAAUUUAAAACAGCAACUGAAUGAAAAUCUGACGUUAUAAAAUCCAUAAGAAGCGUGUAAUGCGUCUAAUUUAAAAAGUCUCUCACACAUGUAAUUGCACGUAGGACGCCAGAUUCAAAAAAAAAAAAAAAACCUUGAAACCAAAGGACUGCAAAGGAUUGCUUUGUCAUAGAAAGUAAAAGAAUAAAUUGAAUCAACUGAACAUGCUUCUUGCAAACAAAGAAAGUAAAAUACGGGGGAACAAAAUCACAAAUCAACAUAGGCAUCUCUUAAGAAUUUAAAUAACCAAGAUUUUGAUGAACUGAUUGUAAGCAUAUGUGCAUAGAUGUCACUAUUUACAUAAAACAUGUAAAGGACAAUCAGUUUUGAGUUUCAAAAUAUAAAAUAUUAAAAUUUCCAUAAAAGAUAAGUAUUGGGAAACAAAGUUGGCAUCUCACCUUCCACAAUAGGUCGACAAAUCCUUUGAUUACGCUUUAGCUUCUUGUUUAACUGAAACACAAAUUCAUUGUUCAGAAUAUCAUAAUUUCAUGAAAUGGUUCACCUUUGAUUACGCUUGCUGCUUAGUGACUUGAUAAGUCGGUCACAAAGAUAACAUGUAGAAUGCAAAUAUGGAUCAGGAAAAAACAACAGCUAUAGAAUUGAUUAUAUAGAAGAAGAAUACAUACUUAUUGUGAGGUUAUCCCAGCUAUCCACUAUGACCCAAUAUAUAUAGCAAGUAAAAACUAUGGCAGCAAAGAUCUCACGUAUAUAAAUCUUGCAUAAACUUUGUUUUUGUACAAUGUCUUCUCCCUUCAAUGACAGUUUGUUUCUUAUUCAGGAAAAUAAAAUGAGCAGGUUAAUGAUACUCACAUGUGCAAAAUGCUAAUCCUAUGGUCUAAAGUUAACUGAAUUUUUUAGUGUAAAAUACCUAAUUUCACUGCAUUUCAAUUGAUCACAGUUCGUGCCUUGUUAAACUUGAUAUACCCUUAGACAUUUUGGGAACUUGACAGCUUAAAUUUUCUUUAGUUACAGAUGUGCUCAUAAAAGCAAAUUACAGCGACCCAAUAUAUACUAAAAACUUGGAGAAGGGACUCAAUUAGUUAACGAACAGGUGCCUCGCCUUUCAUGUUAAGACCAAAGAGAGAAAACCAAGCCGAACUCUUCAAAAUUCAUUGGCACACAUGCAUCAUCAGCUCAAUUGAAUGGAUAAUGCAUACUUAGAUACAACCAUUCAAACAAUUGAUGUAGAUUGACAUAAGCCUCCAAACUUCAAAAAAAUUGAAACCUUAUAAAAGCAAAACCUUUUUUCCUUCAUAUUUGAACUGUUUCGAUUACCUUAUCUCUCUAUCACUUGAUUCAUUAUUUCUAAAGGAAGUUCUAAUCACUACCAAAACAGCUUAAUAACAGUUGAUUAUCUAAAAAAAAAAAGAGGGAAAACAUGAAAUACUAACUGCACUCAAAAUCCCAAAUGUGUAACACAUGAUUCUAAUCUAAACCCUGAUUCUAAAAUUUAGAAUUCGACACAAAAAUGAAAAUUGGAAUGAUUAACAUGGAAAUGAGAGAGGGAGAAGUGUGAGGGAAUCUACACAUGAGGGCUUCGGAUCUGAGUCCAGAGCUGGAAGCGGCAGAGGUUGCGAACUUAAGAGUAUGGAAGAGGCGGGAAGGAUCCUUGUAAAAACAAUAAAAAUUAAAUAAGAAACUCGCCGGAAACUCGGAAAACCUCGUCGAAAAAACUGGACAGCAACUUACCUCGGAUUCACCUUUAACUCGUAACAAAUCUUUUCACAUUAUUCUCUAUUGCCACUUGUACUUCACUCAGUACUAAUCGAUAUAGCUGAAAGUCUGAAUCAUGAAGAAUGAGAAGUUGAAGUAUAUCAAAUGAUAAAGUUGUCAACAAUGAAGAAUGGGACAUUGACCAUGGAGACACUGCAAGAAGCAAAAGUGAGCAAAUUAAAUAAAUACCAGCAUCAACAUUUAGAAAAAAGUAAGAGCAGCAACUAUAAAUGAAGAAUGUGCAAUCAACAUUAAAAGUGUAUAAUAGGAACACGGAUCUCAUAACUAAAAGACAUUUUCUCACCAAACAAUGGAAAAUAAUUGGAGAUGCAAUUCAAUAAAAAAAGAAGUUAGCACUUGCUUAUUGCCUUCCAAAGAAGCUAAUGAAUCCAUCUGGUUGAAGAAGUGUUUAGCAUUGCCAGUAAAAACAACAAAAAUCACAUCAAAUUUCAAAUUAAUCAACUCAAUAGCAUGCGUACCUUAACAUCUAGAUGACGAAACAUUGGUUCCUCGAACGAAUCGUAAAGAUCACAAACACAAAUCAUGAAUUAGAGUUCGAAUACGCAUCUCCCGAUUUGAAACCCUAACGUAAUUCCCCACUUGGAAGAUGCAACCUUUGGGGUUCUGGCUGCUAGGGUUGAGAUGUUAAACCUUUGACUAAGAAAAUGACAUUGGGCAGCAUAGGAUACAUACUGCUCCCCCAGAUAGACCUGCAUGAAGAUUUAUCCACCAUCACAUGCGAAAAGGAAGAUGGUCAGUAUAUGUGUUUUAGUAAUCAAUCUAUAUUUGAAGCAAUGAAAAAAAAGCAUAUGACAUGAGCUAUCAUAAAUUAAAAUUAUCAACAAUCUCUUCCCAUUACGAAACAUAGAGAAACUACAAACCAUAACAAAUACAUUGAAAUACGCAAAUAUGCAGCAAAUCCCUCAAGCAAUUAAGAAAAAAAAUGCCUCUUAAAUCAGCAACCAAAUUCAAAUUAACAAAUGUCUCCAUAAAAGAAGUAAAAUGGAUGAAAAGAUACCUGGCUUUUUCAAAACAAUUCAAAUUCCACAACAUUUCAUUCAAAACAGUUCAAAAUUCAUAACCCCUCAAGCAAUUGGGGCUGUAAGUUACGUAAUCGGAUGGCUACAACCAAACGAAGAGCUUCAAUCAAUUAAAGUCAACAAAAUAUCAAUAAUUAAUCUAAAAAAAAAAAUUAAAUAAAUGAACACCAGGGGACUGAGGAAUGCUACUAAACAUCAGUAAGAACAGAAACGAAUAAUUUAAAUGCUUGAGCUUCAAUGAAAGCAUUUUACCCUUGCAAUUUUCCAAGAUAGCGGAGAGGCAAGAUGCACAUGUAUUAGUGAGAGGAUUUUCAAAGAUAUUGAGCACUUCCAAUCGAGCAGAUAGCAAAGGGCAUUCGCAAAUCUGAAGAUUGAAAUUAUUGAUCGAGACAGCCAAAUGAAUAGAGAUAUAAUCAUACAAUCCCCAAAAUCCAAAUCCAAAUCUGAAACGCCUGAUCCGUUUCUGGAAAAUGGCAGAGAAAAAUAGAAGAACUACGUUUUUAGAUGACCGGAUUGAAUUUGAGGCAGAGAGAGGGGGAGAGAAAGAGGGAGGAAGAGAAGCAGAAAAGCGAUAGAACAAAAUGGAAGACGCUUGAAGGGUCUUCCUUACCAACGACGUGAAAUCCAAUUGCCAUUUCAAGCUCCCUCAAUCACGACCUGUAGGAAAAUAUCAAACCCAAACAUAAGUUCACUGAAAUUCGAAUUCAAUAUAAUCAAACACAAACAAAAUAGCAAAAUUAAAAUAAAUAAAAAACUAAACUAAACUAUAAAUUAAAACUUUCAAUUGAAUAACCCCACAAUUUAAAUUACUAAACAGUAACAGAUUUCUCUGAGUAAUCAACUUCUCGAUUAUGGUCAUCGAACACGACAUUCUCCAAAACUGCCAAACACAUGCAACCAUAUUUGAUAAGAAUUUGAAAUAUCACUCCAAUCAUGACACAGAACAUAAACAUUUUGCGCACUGUCAUUUUUAAAGUAGAACGUUCAAUUAAAUCAUGAUGUUAAGUACCAGUCCCAAAUUUGAUAGCAUUCCAAAUAUCUGGUUCCUUGUCCAUUGACAAAUCAAUGCACUUGGCAUAGCAACCACCUUCAAUGUUUGACACACCAUUGUUGCCCCAGCAGUGCUCAUCAUCUCCAAUUAGAUACCGAUUAUGAUCCGUAGACAGAGUCGUCUUCCCAGUGCCUGCAACAAACAUCCCAGGAUCAGUUACACGAACACAAAAGAAACUGAAACACAAAAGAUUGAUGUAUCCAUCACCAAUUGAUCAUUGUACACAUAAAAUUAUCAUGAUUCAUACCUCUGCGUCGAUAUGGAAUUUUAUAAACUGGACAAAUGGAACCCAAUUUCAUCGACUUCACGGUGCAAGUGCUGUAAAAAAAUAAGCAAACACUGGCAAUAUGAUCAAGCACAUUCCAAGUAUUAAUACAUCCAAAUAAAACCUAACAUUCAUAUGCAAAUAACAAUGAAGGUAGAGAUUACUUGUAAGAGAUGAUUGCAAUUGAGUGAAUCCGCAGAACUCAGUAGACUCAAACUGCAAAACAGAUGGGGAAAAAUCAAACCCAUUAACAGAGUGAAGAAAUUUUUUAAAUCUUUAAACGAAUUCUGGACAGAAUCAUGUAAAGGGUCUGUUUUGGCUACCGAGAAACUUAGUAUACAUUUAAAUAUUAUUACAUGUUAAUACAAAAAUUUAGCUUUAUUCAGAUGGGAGAGAUCAAAGGUUGCAUCAUUCAGCUUCACACAUGGCUACAACACAAUUUCAAAAACUCUUGUCAUCUCAAAGUCACAUUCUUUAUCAAACUCCCACUCCAUAAUCGAACAGAGGUUGAUAACGGACAAAAAGAAACACAAAGUACGAAAUAUAAUCAAUAUCAUCAGUCAAAACUUACUGCAAAGGGUGAGGGGUCAACCAUGUGAUUUUUUGCCCCUUAACCUCGGCCUGCAUGGACAAACAACGGAAGAAUUCAUACCCAAAUAACACAAUAACAUAAAAUGGCAGGAAUGUAAAUAAUACAAAAUCGAGGGUCCAACACACGUUGAUAUGUCAUCGUGGUUUCCAAUUGAACCAUGAAUUCCAGAAUGUAAAUCAUACCUUGAGUAUAAGAAAACCAGAAAAGGAAAAUUAAAUCCCUCACAAAUGGUGGAAGAAAAUAUGAGAAACCUAUAUUAGUCCCAACGGUGUGAGUUUUCAUCAAAGAAGUAGACAAUCCACACGCUAAAUCACCAAUCAAACAUGAAGAUGAUCACAAAGAAGAAAUCCCUAAAACCAAUAUUUUAUUAGAGUUGAAAAUCGAAAUUAAGCCAAAACGGAACCGACACUACCCAAAUUAAGCUAAAAAUUCACUAACCCAACAUAAAGGCAAAGAAAAAUCACCUCUAGAUGACUGCCAUUGAUUCAAUGCAAAGAGAGCUCAAGCUGCUUAAUAUUGUUCUGAAAUUAGAGAGAGGGUGUGAGAGAUCAUGAGAGGACGGAGGGGCGAAUGGCGGAGUGAGAUUCAGCGCGUCUCUUCUCUGCAUAUAAAAGAUGCCGCACAAUUAUGCAACUUACUCCAUAGACUUAUAAACAUCACAAUUAUAAAUUCUGAAACUGAUAUAAAUUGAAUAGAAAUACACAAAGCAUAAACAAAUUCAGCAUAUGAACACCAAAACUUACCAAACUCAUGUGCUUGCUUGAAGCUGUUUUUGAUCAUUUUUCUACAAUCUACUGCAUAAAAAGGACCAAACUAUAACGGCAAACUAUAUAUAUAAUUUGCUAUAAUACCCAAAAAAAUUAAAUUACAUUAACAUUUGAGUGGAAGCCACGACCAAAGUGGUAAAAUUGAAGAAAACAUCAAAAUCCCAGAAAAAAAAACAAAUUCUUUCAGAAAAAAUCAAAGAAAUUUACUCAGGUAAUCAAUCAAUUAUGUACCUAAUUCCCCUGAUGUCUUGAAUAAAUAUAACACUCCAAGAUAAAUUAACUACCCAAUAUUAAUUUUUCCUGUUUCUUUCUUCUUAUUCUCGGGAAAGAAACAAACCCAAAACAAAUAAUUGAAGAAAACAUACAGAAAAUAUUGGGGAGGAGUAACAUACAAUCUGCUGAGUUCUUAUUCGCUUUGUAGAUAAGAGAUGGUGGCUUCUCAUCGAGUUCAUGUAUGUAUUGCCUGGAGUGAGAUGGUGAGCGGGCGUGAGAGAAUAGGGCAGUGAGAGAGAGUCGGGAGAGAAAAAGAGGGAAAGAAAUGGCGAUGGAAACGGACGGAAACGUAGUCGAAGCAGAGCAAUCCACGAUGAUUAACGCGUGGGCGCUCUUAAACUGUGCAAAAGCAGUGGUAAUUUUGUAAAUAAAUCGAAAUUUUCAAUUUGCGGUGAAGAGAUGAUGGUAAUUUUGUAAAUAACUCAAAAUCCACUCCAAGUUACUAUUCAUUUGAAUAGUGCAAUUGAAAAGCUUUCUUUAGACAAAAGCUAGAAAAAAUGCCCGCGCUUCGCUGCGGGUUUUGAAACUAUUAGCCAUAAUAGACGUGAAUAAUUGGCACGAAAAGAUGCAUUACAAAGGCGACACAAAUGGAGUCAUGUCCUAAAAUGAACCAGUGCAGAUGAAUAAUUUGCAAAAUCACAUUCAGUUUCAUUUCUAUAGGUCAAAAAACAAAGAAAACAUGUAUAUUAACUUGUCAUAUUUUAUAAAACUAAAAGCAUGGACAAUUCAGUGCACCUUGGUUGCACAUUUGUCAUAUCCAGCAGCUCACAUCGGCCACCCCCCACUGGAAUCCAAGGCUGAGGGAAGCCAUCUGCGGGAGUUGUCAUCUGAAGCACCACUCUUAUCUUUGCCUUUGUCUGAUUUGAUAUGUUGCUUACUAUUGCAUGGAUGCCAAGUAGCUUCAACAGCCUUCGAUGUACACAUAUCUGAAAUGCGGUCUUGUCCUACUGUUAGAAGCAAAGAUAGGAGCCCUAAUAGCAUAUUCUCAAGAGCUUCAUAGAGAGCUCUUUUGUUUCUCUUUGUCAACCACUGCAAGGAUUGCAAUUCAAAUUUAAUCAAAAUAAUUCAUUUCACAUUCAUAAUAAACCCGAAAGUGACUUGAUAAGAUGAAAUUAACCCAAUUACGUGUGAAAGGAAACCUUUCCAAUUAAAUGAAUGAAAUAUUUGAUGUGGAUCAAAACCAAAACCAAAUGAAAACAAAUAUCGACAACUGCCCAAGUUGGUGUUUGCCCCAAAGGUCUUCCUCCUCCUCCUCCUGCCAUCCUUUAAUUGAAACCCUAAUUUUCCUUACUACUAAAUAAUGCUAUUUUCGAUCUAUUUCUUUCGGUGUGUAAACUUUACUAAUUCUCGAUAAUUUUCAAUCACUUCCACUGUAAUUAAAAUAAGUACUGAGUAUAUACACACUCAUAAAAACACAAAUUCAGUUUUCCAUUCUAAAAAAUGAACGAAAGCACAUACUCCAAGUCAAUGUUCCUACUAUAUUCAUUAAUCCAACGAUGCAUCAAAUAUAAAAAUUAAAUUAUACCUCUAAUUUAUAACCUUUUGAUCUUGCUUCAUCUGCAGCUAAACCAAAAUUUGGACAAUCCCCAAUAUAAUUCCGUCAAAAUCCACAUAGCAACACCAUGUAAGAAUCAUAUUGGGUGUCUACACCCACACUUAUCAAUGUACACAUAAAUUUGAAAUCUGAAUCACUUGGGCUUCAAAGAAGGCCAAAAGUCUUUGUAUUCAAGCAUUUAAUACUCUACAGAAAUUAACUAAACACAGCCACAUUGAAUACCAAACCCACUUACUUACCAUCUUAUCCAACUCUUAUUUCGUAAAUUUUUCUGGUAAAGAAGCGUAGUUUAUCCUGAGCUCUGCAAUAGAAUAAUUCAAUUCUUCUUCAUUGCUUUUCAAUAGGAUCCCUACAAUCAAACAAACAUAAUUACUCUAGUAAAUAACUUCAAUUUAAAAUGCAAAGAUAUAACAGAAAGGAAAGUGAUUAAUUAAAAAAUAAAACUGUUAAAACAACAGACUGAUACACUUAACAUGCCAAUUUAUAUACUAUAUAACAAUACUAAAUCAAUUAAUUUAUAAAGAUUAGAAAUGGAUUACAAAAAGCAGAAAUCUUAUUUGGCAUGUAUGAAAAUGAUACACACAUUCUUAGCCAAUCAGCAUGAAAAAGGUAUAGAAAACUAAUUUACUUUGUUAACUUUGGACAACUGGAGAGAUGAAAGAACUCUUAGUUUUUACUAUAAGUAUGACAACCAUGUGAUUUCAUUGUUAAUUGGGACUGAUGUGUGUCAUUAGGAUUGCCAAAAUUAGUGAUCUUAGAGUUUGGCAGCCAAUGACCGAAUUGGACUCAAGUUUAUCAACAUUUGAUUCAACUAAACUAAAUUGGAUACGCUCAUUAGCAUAGAAAUAUGUAUACCAUAUGACAAUAUUGAAUCAAGUUAUUUGCAAAGAUUUAAAAUGCAAUGUAAAAAGGAAAAAAUUUAUUUUAUAUGUAAUAAAAUGAUUAACAAAUUUUUUAUUGAGCAGUAUAAAAAAGGUAUUAAAAACUAACCUAAUUUAUUAAGUUUGGAAAAAUUGGACAGAUAAAAGAAAGCUUUUAAUCCUUACUAUAACUAAAAUAACUAUGUUAUUUCAUUAUCAAAUAGGAUUCAUACGUGUAAUCAGGGUUAAGAAAAUCACUGAUUAAAGAAUCUGCCAGAAAUCAUCAAAUUGGACUUGAACUUACCAAUUUCUGAUUCAAAUAAACUAAGAAAAGGAGUUGGAAUCAAACUAACCUCUGUUUUCUAUAUGCAGCAAACUGCAUCUUGUUUUUGCCCUUGUUAACAACAUAUCUUCGCUCUGUACACACCAAAAAACAGUAAACACCUCAUUCAUUACUAACAGCCAUUUCAAUCAAUUAAUUAUUUAGACAAAUUUUUCAACGAUUCCGAAGCUCAGACAAAAAUUGCAUGAGAAAAUUGAGAUUAUAUGCAAUUGGAUGUCAAAGAACCUGAAAAUACCAUAUAUCCAAUAUUUAGUGCAUACACCUAAAAACUAAUCUUUAUAUAUACUUUAAAAUAAUACAGAUCAAUGUAAUCUAAAACAUUGGAAAUGCAUAUCAGUGCAAGCCAAGGUCUCAAGUUCUCAGAGUGGGGAAUUACUGAUUAGAACAGUUAAUUCUCUGCUCCUUUUUGGGUAUGAACUAAUUAGCAUAGUAGCCAUAAAAAUACGAAACAAAAGCUCAAUAAUUUAUGCAAUUUGGUUAAAUUUUAUACAAUUUCUAGCAAAACCCAAAACUCAAUAAUACAAAAGGAACCCAAUAGAUGAUUAAAGCAAUUUUAUACACAACUUAUGCAAGUCCAAAGAAACGCAUUUGAUCAAACUUACUGAAUACUGAAAAAAAAAAUUACAAUCAAAGUACGGAUUAAUAACUACCUCAACAACUAACAGAGCCAAAGCCAAACCCUAGAGCUUCGAAGGGCAGAGACGAUCACAGAGACAAGAAUAGUCCUUAUUCCUUCCCACUGCUGCUGCUGCCACUUUCUCUCUCUAAAAACCAAUUGGAAAUUGUUUAUAAAGAGACAGAGAGGAGAGGGCUAUGAUGAUUGGAUGAAAGAAGCAUGAAAAACUAAAAGACAUGUAAGCUUGAAUUCGAGUCCCAAAUUGAAAAUAUAAGGGAGGAGUGUAAGGGUGGCUUACCGAGGUCAGGAGAGGUGAGUCUCAUAGGAAAAGUCGACGAACAGUGGCAGGAGCCAGUGCACAGUGAAAGGCCUCGCCUGUGUCUCCUGAACAGAACAGAGUGAGUGAUAGUGGUUCUGUGAGAUGGAGCGAGUGGUGGUGGUGCUGUAGUCAUGUUUUGCCGGAAAAUGGAGGCUUUGGUGCGCCUCGGUGUUUACAGAGAAAAGAAAGGGGAGUCCAGGGAGCUAGUGGUUGUUUGAUGGAGUUGAGGCUCGCCGGAGUGGCGAGUUGUGAUGUGGACUCAGGCCUCUCGGCCUCUGGGUUUUACGGAGAAGGGGAAGAUGGUUUAGGGUUGAGAGAGAUGGAGGGACGGCUAGGUUUUAGAAAAGAUGAAGAAGAAUGGGGGUGAGCAGCGCUGGGGCUACAUGUUGAGGGAAAUGAAGAGAGAGCAAGAAGAAGUCGAAGGCAGUGAACCCUACGGACAAAUUUACCCUUCUAAGUUAUAAUAAUUACCCUUCCAACCCAGCCCAAAUCUGAUGGGUUCCUUGUAAAUAAGGUGAAAUCAAGUGGCAAACAAUUGACUGUAGCCAUGAACAGUAAGGAACAGUGCCAAUUGAAAAGCCUUCUUUAGACUAAAGUAAUAAGGCUUUUCAAUUGCACUAUUCAAAUGAAUAGUAACUUGGAGUGGAUUUUAAGUUAUUUACAAAAUUACCAUCAUCUCUUCAUCGCAAAUUGAAAAUUUCGAUUUUUUCACAAAUUACCACCGCUUUUGCACAGUUUAACAGCGCCCACGCGUCAGUCAUCGUGGAAUGCUCUGCUUCGACUACAUUUCCGUCCGUUUCCAUCCCCAUUUCUUUCCCUCUUUUUCUCUCCCGACUCUCUCUCACUGCCCUAUUCUCUCACUCCCGCUCACCAUCUCACUCCAAGCAAUAGAUACAUGAACUCGAUGAGAAGCCACCAUCUCUUAUCUACAAAGCGAAGAAGAACUCAGCAGAUUGUAUGUUACUCCUCCCCAAUUUUUUCUGUAUGUUUUCUUCAAUUAUUUGUUUUUGGGUUUGUUUCUUUCCCGAGAAUAAGAAGAAAGAAACAGGAAAAAUUAAUAUUGGGUAGUUAAUUUAUGUUGGACUGUUAUAUUUAUUCAAGACAUCAGGGGAAUUAGGUACAUAAUUGAUUGAUUACCUGAGUGAAUUUCUUUUAUUUUGUCUGAAAGAUUUUUUUUUUUCUGGGAUUUUGAUGUUUUCUUGAAUUUUACCACUUUGGUCGUGGCUUCCACUCAAAUGUUAAUUUAAUUUACUUUGUUUGGGUAUUAUAGCAAAUUAUAUAUAUAGUUUGCCGUUAUAGUUUGGUCCUUUUUAUGCAGUAGAUUGUAGAAAAAUGAUCAAAAAUAGCUUCAAGCAAGCACAUGAGUUUGGUAAGUUUUGGUGUUCAUACGCUGAAUUUGUUUAUGCUUUGUGUAUUGUCUAUUCAAUUUAUAUCAGUUUCAGAAUUUAUAAUUGUGAUGUUUAUAAGUCCACGGAGUAAGUUGCAUAGUUGUGCGGCAUCUUUUAUAUGCAGAGAAGAGACGUGCUGAAUCUCACUCCGCCAUUCGCCCCUCUGACCUCUCAUGAUCUCUCACACCCUCUCUCUAAUUUCAGAACAAUAUUAAGCAGCUUGAGCUCUCUUUGCAUUGAAUCAAUGGCAGUCAUCUAAGGAUGAUUUUUCUUUGCCUUUUUGUUGGAUUAGUGAAUUUUUAGCUUAAUUUGGGUAGUGUAGGUUCCGUUUUGGCUUAAUUUCGAUUUUCAACUCUAAUAAAAUAUUGGUUUUAGGGAUUUCUUCUUUGUGAUCAUCUUCAUGUUUGAUUGGUGAUUUAGCGUGUGGAUUGUCUACUUCUUUGAUGAAAACUCUCACCGUUGGGACUAAUAUAGGUUUCUCAUAUUUUUUUGCACCAUUUGUGAGGGAUUUAAUUUUCCUUUGUGGGUUUUCUUAUACUCAAGGUAUGAUUUACAUUCUGGAAUUCAUGGUUCAAUUGGAAACCACGAUGACAUAUCAACGUGUGUAGGACCCUUGAUUUUGUAUUAUUUACAUUCCUGCCAUUACCAAAAAGCAUGGGCUGCAGAGAGAGAGGGAGAUAGGCGGGGGAUGGCAGGGAGGGGAAGGGAGAGGGAGGAGUGAGGUUGCUAUAAAAAGGGGUUAUGGUUGAUUUUUUUUUCUCCUCAAAUCAAGGGUUGGUGUCGGGAUUAAGGGAUGUGUCAAAAUUGCCAAUAGAAGCCUAAAUUAAUGGGUAGUUGUCGGUGAUUGAGAGAUUGAGAGGGAGAAAAUUGGGGGAGGUUGUCACUGACCCGAUGGAGUGAGGGAUUUUGUGAGGAUUAACUAACUUAUUGACUAGGAACACAAGACAAGACAUGCUUCCGGUAAACCGCCUCCGUCGCUUUCCUCCUCUCGCCUCCGUCUACCUCCUCUCCCUUUCUUCGUCUCCCCCUCCUCCUCUCUCUCUCUCUCUAUGGAAUCGAUCGAUCUUCGAAGAGGAUAAAAAGAUCUGAAAUGGUGUGCUUCUUCUACUGUGAUUCUGUGUUUUUAAUUUUUCUGGGUUUGGCUUCUUCUUUUAUUCCACUACUAAUUUACAAAAAUAAUGAAUUUUGUACAUUUUGUUUUUAUUUUACUUUUUGUUAUAUUUCAUUGUAAUAUCAAAUAGAGUUGGUAUUUUAAAAUCUCACUGCAAUGUUUUUUGUUAUAUUGUUGGUGGGUAUCUUUAAUUAUGCCCUGAUGGAGAAAGGCAAAGAGGACAGACCUGGAUUUGGGGCAUAAAAGGGAUCUUUAGAUUUCUGUGAAAGUACUUUGUGCCUUUUUGCUAUUGGUGAUGAGUGUUCAUGAAUAUUUAUGCUUUAAUAUAGCUGUUACAGGAGCAAGUUGUUUAGUUAAAAUCCUAAGAAGAUUAGGGUAAAACAUUCCGGCUCUCUCAUUAUUGAUAGUCUGAAUUUCUGCAAUCUCUGAGAUAUAUUUGGGAUAGUUUUAUAGUGAUAUACAUCAAGGUUCAAGAAAAACUUUGCUGCACUGCACUAUAGGAGUAUCUGGUUGAUGAAAUUUUUCUGAUUUAAGCAUUUAGCUCCUCGAUUGCAUUAAAUCAGUAUUUAAAGAAGUUUUUGUCUGAGAAUGCAUUGAUAGAAUUUUUUUUGCCCAAAAAUUAACUCACAGAGCUUCCUGUGAGUUAGUCUUAGCUUUUGAUUUAAUUUUUUUAGAAUUAUUAUCAUUUUUUUUAUCUCUGCUGCUGUUUUGGAUUUUUUUUAAUGAUUUUUAUGCGAUGUUCAUCUGUGUAGGCACUCAAAUUAGUGUUUUGGAGUGCAUAUGGACCAGACACCACAAAAGAGAAAACGGAAACCAAAAUCAGAGCCAUCAAAACAAACAAAUGCUGGUAUGUCCUAAAAAAGGUUGGUUUGUGCACUUUCAAAGAAUACAUGGAAGAAGAUAAUAUUGAUCAUGGUGUAGAAUGUGAUGGUAAUGUGGUUGAAAAAGAUAAAAUGUUGCACGAAAAGAUCUCAGAGCUCAUUGACGAAAAUAUGCAGCACCAGGCUGAGUUGAUAAGGAGAAACAAGGAGAAUAGUGAAACAAUUGAGUGGCUUUUAUCCCAGGUGCAUAAGCUAACGGAUGAGAACAAAAUUUUGAAGAUUAAUCUGGGAAUCCAUAAGGAUACUACUGAUCAUACAAUUGCAAUCCAUAAGGAUGCUACUGAUUAUACAAUUACAAGGCAAAACAAGCCUCAGUUUUCAAAGUCUAAGUCCAUAGGGCCAUCUUUCCCUGGAAGGCUCACUGGAUGCCUAGAACUUGGAUCUUAAUUAGCUACUUUUCAACUUUAGUAGGUAGCGUUAUAAGUUUUCAAAUGUAUCUGUUUAUAUGCUUUCAUAAUACAUGUGAAGAUUCCGAGUCAAUUAUAACAUAUUUUAAUUUUUAAUUUUAUGAGUAUAGAAAAGGAAUUGAAUGCUUCGUUAUUUUGAUCUUGCAGCUGAAGCCAAGUCUGGAUAGAGAGAAAGAUCUCAUGGUAGGAAUCAUGGACUUGAUGAAGGUGAGGUUAACAAAGUGUGCUUUAGCACCAAGAUUGGAAUCUGGGUGUUCUGAGUUUUGUUUUGUUGUGAUUUUUCUAUAAUCUAGAUGCUGAAAUACUUGGAGUUGGAAUUAAUAAGAAUUGAUUGAACAUGGAUUUUUUAUUAGAUUGGUAUGGCUGACAUAGUUAAGAAGUAGUUUAAGAUGCAGUGAUUAGGGCAUUUCUUUAACUGAACAUAUUUGUUUUCAUGAGGUAGAUAGAAUCCUCUGUAAUUUAAUUAAUUAGAUUGAAAUUUGGGGUCUGGAUUCUUAAACUACUAUGGUGGUUAAUGUAGCUUUUUUGGUGAAUUUUUCAAGUGGGGAAAAAGAGGUGGGUGUGGGAUUUAUAUUGUUAUUCUCAGUUGGUAUAUAAAUAUUUGAGUGUGCAAGAAAUGGUUACCAUACAAAAAAUACAAGAACUGAAAUUAGAAGGGAUAAUGGCAGUUUGCAGAGGGUUGGUUCAGGGAUGGUAAAAGUUGUGUACGUGGCGAGAUUAAUGGAGGUGGUUUCGUGGUGGCGUAGUUCUCCGUGAAAAAUGGCGACGGUGGUCGCCUUGCUAUUUCUGUGCAGCGAGCACAGUAUCAAGAGAGAGAGAGAGAGAGAGGUGAGGGAAAUAGGGAGAGUAGUAGAGAGGGAGUGAGACAUGAGGGUGGUGGCAAGCUGGUGCCUUGAGGGAGUGGCGAGUGAGGUGGUGAUAGUUUCUCGAACGGGAGAUUUAUGGUGUACUAGAGAACUUGACUCCUCUCUCAGUCUGGUCUCCGGAAGAGAAAACCAAACAUAGCUAUGCAUUAGCAAAGUUUGAAAUGAGGGUUUUUAAUCUUUGGCAUGCUAUUGUCUUUAUUUGAUCAUUCUUUGAAAAAAAUUAUGAUGGACAAGUGAAAUAAACUGAAUGAAAACUUGGAGAAGAAGUUCUGAUUUUUAAUAUCUUUAAUCCGGGAUUAUUGUGAUGCCCUUUGACAAUUGAAAUGUGAAUGCAUUAUGUUGCUUAGAACACAAGUCAAUAUUUUUUAAACUGUGUUAGGUAUGAUGGAUGCUAUAGAUAGAAAAAUGUUGGCUUAAGGUUGGAUUCCAGGUAAAUAUGUGCUAUCCUGGAUGAUGGAAUUGCAUAGCAUCCUAAGUUUCUUUCUAUAUUUUCCUGAACAGAUUUACUGAAAAUGUUUUUCAAGGAUAUUCAACAAUAACUUUAAUCUUCAGACUUUCUCAUUGUUGCAGUCUCUAAUGCUUUAGUUAAUCCUAUUAGCCUAUUGUUAGAUCAAUUAAAAGAGUGUUUUAGCCUUCUGUUAGUGUUUCAUCUUAUAUACUUUCUCUCAUUGUUAGAUCAGUUGUGAUUCUGUGUGGUUCAUGUUUCCGGGUGUAAAAUUGUUCAUACAAUCUCACUUUUGCAUCUAAUUAGUGAGCCAAAAAGAAAAUUUUUAACAUUUUAAAUCCUAAUUAUCUCUAUUUCAGCCAAUGCAUAUUUUUUCCACCUAAAAGUCUUUGAUGCAUGUCUUCUUUUUUUUUUUUUUAGUAUUGAAACAUACAUUGUUCGAAAUUUGUUGAGCACUUGAAACUUUACAAGUUAAGAUUUGGAAUUUUAUGAUAUAUGAUAACUGCUUUGUAUGUUUGUUGUUGAUUAAGCACGUGGGAUACAACUCGGUCUUAGACACUUAAUAAAGGUUUAUCGUUUGAAAUUAAUGGGGCACAUGUUAUUCUCAUGAUAUUGGCUGCAAAUGCUGCAGAGUGAUUACAGAAACCAACGCAGAAAAAGCUUUAUAGGUAACUUUUACAUUUAUAGCAUUUCAGAAUUCGCAUAAAUACCAGAAAACAUCUUGAAAGACUACCAUUUCAAGUGGAUCUUUUCUUUCAUGUGGAAACCAAGCUUCCUUUUUCUUAACUCAUUCUAUUAAAACUUCAAAUUAUGUUCAAUUUGUUGAUUGGCUGUUAGCACUUAAGUUGAUCUAUUUAUUUCCAAUGUACCCUUUUUUAUGCAUGAGUGCUUUUCUGUUGCAUGUUUAGAAGAUGAAUGCAUCAAUUCUUAGGUAACCUUCUUUUUGUUCUGUGACGUAGGACAGAGUAGGACAGCGGAAAUUAGAUUGUUUAGCGGAAGUGAAACGACAUAAAACUUAAAUUGAAACAUCAUAUGCUUCUGUUUUAUAGGACUGGGGGGGGGGGGGAUAAAAACAGUAUAUUUUGUUGUUGCAUGUUUCAUUUAAUUCAAACUUUCAAAUAUACACUCUCUCUCUUCAUUAUGCACAGUAUGUUGAUGUGAACUGAAUCUAAAUAAUUUGUCUUUCUGUCGAAAAUAUUCAUAGUAUGUCCUGCAUUACAGUUUCAAAACCCACAGCAGCACGUGGGCAAUUUUAUUUUCCCUCUCCCUAUAUGUAGUUUAAUAUAAUUCAACGAGUUCAAAGAGAAUGAUCAGAAUGAAGGUUUGUAUUAGAUCCGAUGUGCUUCCUCUUUCUAUGCAUUUUGGUUCAAAUUAGGGUUUUAGGUUGAAACCCGAAACGAAAAGAGAAUAAAGUUUUCAGGAUGUUCGGAUUUUGUGUUUCGAUGAGAGGAAAAAAUGAGAAAUUUGUUAAGAAAAGUUGUGGUCGGAUUUUACAUGUUUACCGUUUUCAAGGUACGGUGUUCAUCGAUCUUAACUUUAAAUUUGUUUCUCAAUUUUUUUGUAGUUUUGGAUUUGUAAAAACCCUCGAUUGAAUCGGGUGCUGGUAUGGUCCCUUACAGGAAAAAAAAGUUUCAUUUUUUUCCCCUUAAAAUUUUAGUUUUUGUUAUUUUCUUUUUUCUUCACAAAGGAACUUAGGUGGUAGCUGUAUUACUAAUUAGCUACAGAAUUUAUAUAUUCUUAUGAGUACGGUAUGGGUGCAGGUUUGCUAUGUUGCUUUUUGGGAUGAAAUUACUUUAAAUACAAAGGAAAAUUUGAUCGAUAUUAUUGGGUUGUACGCAGAAAUCUAAGUUUUACCUAUUUUGAUAAUGCUUGGUUUUUGUGUAUUGAGUUGGAUAGACAGUUCAUAGGUUUGGUUCCAUAUUUAUUCGGAGAAGAAAAACACAAAGAGGGCAACACAAUAACCCUAGGAUGAUUAUAUAUGGAAUGAAUUAAAUCUAUUAACGAAUUAUAUUUUGGGUGGUGUUAGGGAGAAACGCCUACACUCCAAAUAUUUAUGAAUUGGAUUCAUUAUAAAAUAGGUAAAUUGUAUGCAUUACUUCUUUUGGCACUAAAUCUUUUGUUAAAUUUUAUUUUGCUGACUUUUAGUUUUUGACUUUCCUUUGGCAGGACUUUUAAUUAAGCAUGCAUCUUUGGUGUAAUAUUAUCAUAUUCUUGAGGUUUGAAUUUUUUACUCUUACUUUUGUGACCAUUAUAUGUUUGCGUAUCUCUCUUUUGGGUUAUCCAUCAAUUAAAAAUUAUUAUGUGAGGAUUUUGAUUGUUGACUUAUCAUUGGUAUAUUUCAAGUGGUUUUUGAUAUUUUGAUAGGUGUUGGAAAAAAAAGAUGAAAUUGUUUUGCGCUCAACGCAUAGUUAAUCUUAAAAUAGGGUUUAUUAAAUUGGUUUGAUGAUAUAUAGGUGGUAACAAAUUAAUGAUGUCAACUCCUACAAGGAAGAGGCUGAUGAGAGAGACUUCGAGAGGCUGCAACAAGACCAGCCUGCGAGGAUUAGUGGGGCGCCUCAGGAUAACAAUAUAAUGUUGUCGGCGAGGUUAGUUAUUUUUUAGGCUUUGCUUCUACAAACGUGAACUCUUUACAUGGAAACCGAAUUUUAUGUGAAUUUUAAUAGUUAUAUAUCAAACUCCUCUGCACUGAACUCUGUGUAUUACAACAAUUAUAAUUAGAACUUGGAUGAAAUGGGCUCCAUCCAGCAAAACUCCUGCCCUAACAAUAAUAAUUAGAACCAAAUUUGAUAAUUUCUCAUAGUUUAGGCCAUUUGGCCAAGUCAGAAUGAGAAACAUAGAUGUUUUCUUUAUCUUAUGCUAUUUGUUUGGCUGUAAAUCGUAUGGAGUAAAUCUCAUGGUGUCAUUCUAAAUAAACUGGAAAUAUGUCUCAUGCAAAAUUAAUGUUGAUGUUUAUCAAUGGAAAUAAGUUUUGAAGUGAUUACCUUUCUUUAUACAAGUUCUCUUCACAAUGAAACCUAUAUUAUAGUGUCACUUUUACUUGCUUUCGCACAAAAGGGGUGUCUGGACAUGUAAUUGGCGUGUCAUUACUCACUAAAUCUUUUUUAUCCUUAUCUUCUAUAUUAAUAUCACCAUUUUUUUGGGUGCUCAUUGAGUGGUUUGGCAGGUAAUAGAUAAAGGUUUUAAUGCAUUCAUUUAAUGUUAUUACAGAUCUGCUAAAUUCUUCAAGAAGUCCGGUUUACAGAACUGAAGCUGUUUAAGCACAAGGUGUCCCAGUUUAUAGAUGAGGUAUUAUAAAAUUUAAAAAGCGUCAAUAUUAUCAUUACUGAUCCUUAACAUUUAACUAUCAAAGCUUGAGUUUAUAAUAAUUAAUUCUUCACUGAUGAUAUGUUGUGAUGGGGUUUAGUAAUUUUCAGUAUUCUUCAAUUCUUUUAAUCUGCAAAAUCAAAUAGCCCAUGGAAUUUAUGGCAUACAAUUAGUUUCCUUUCAGUUGGGUUGAAAUGAUAUUGAUUGUGUUGUUAUGAAGCUCCUUUUUAUAGUUAGGUUGAAAAUCAUAUUGAUAGAUUCUUUAUUUGGUUGGUCCUAUCUGUAACAAAUGGGAUUGUUUUGUUUGAUGUUUGAAUCAAAAUUUGAUCUUUUUUUGUGUGAAAUUAUGAUGGAAUCGCAAAUUUGUGAGGUAUAUCUUAGAUUAUUGGUUGCAUAGUCACCUUCCCACAACUAUCACAUUGUCUCUUGACUAGAUGAAUUUUUAUAAUUUCUAGGAUCUACGGUUGCAAUGCUUUUGAUGCAUGCAAUCAGGAGGAUGCUACUACUCUUAUGGAGCUUCUUUGGCAUGGUAAGUUGAAGUUGCAUAGCAUUUUUUUUUCGUUCACGAAAUUCGUUAUCUUGCUAUCCUGGCAAUUAGCAGUGUCUGACAACUGGUGAAGUAUAUGAAUAUAUGUGGAAGUUUGAAUUAUACAAAUGAAAGUGAACUUUUAACAACUCUAACUUAGAAUUUUUAUUAAUUUCUUUCAUUUGUGUUCGACUAUUUUACUUUUUUGGUAUAUAAGUACAACUAUAGAUCGAAAACCACAUAAAUUACCUAACAGCCAAGGAAUUGUUUGUGGUAGAACAUAACAUGAUGUAAAGCUCAAAUUUUGGGCACUUAAAUAUAUGUUUUUUUUUUUUCAAUUACAAUCAGUCAGCAUGAAAGUUCAAUUGGAUUUGUUCUGGUCUCCAAAAAUUUUUCUUUGUUUGGUUACCGAUUAAUUUAUGUGGUGAGAGUUUAGUUUUUGCUUUUCUGCCUAUGUAUAUAUGAUUUGAAAUGGACAAUUCAAUUUUCUAUAUAUAAAUUUGUAGUCGAAGAGUUCGAAGGAGAGGUGAAUUAGAAACAAUGGGGGGAAGAGUGAUGGAGUUGAGGAGUUGAGAGUUAAUGAGGUAUACUUGAAUUUCUGUAUGAUGUCCUUGGUAUUGGGAGAUCAUUGAGACUAACUAUCUGGUUGAUUAAUCACGAUGUCCUUGGUAUUGGGAGAUCAUUGAGACUAACUAUCUGGUUGAUUAAUCACUAAUUUGAACUAUUUGUGCUUGGAAAAUUAGCUACUUGAACAAGUACUGAACGCUUUCUAUGUUUUCUCUUAUUAACUGCUGAAAUAGGUGCCUGCCCUAUAGGACACAUAUUUUGCCUUCUUAACUACAAGGGAAAAAUAUGUGUGAAUUGCAUGUUGCUUAUGUUUCUUAUGGAAACAGAACUUUUUUUGGCAACCAUGUCUUUGUGAUCAAGAAUGUUCAGUUUCUUCCUACUAAUUGUGCAAUGUCUUUACAUGUCAACUUAGUGGAAUGUAUAUAAAAGUCAAACUACUUAUCUUAUCGAUCUCAUUCACUCAUGUGUCCCUCUGUUCAUUCAUGAUUGUGUUGAAUUUUUUCAGGUAAAAUGUGUCUUAUUCAUGCAGUUACGCCUGAAAUAGUGGUUCCCACUGCAACACGUGGGCUUAUUUUCUAGUUAUGUCUAUUUUUGUCAUUAUACAAAAUUUCCAAAAUUUUACAUUAGUAUUUACCAAACGCUUUUAUACUACUUUUCAUACUUACAGCAGUUUUAAAAAUACAGUUUACCAAACGUUCAGCUGCUUUAUUUUACAGCUGAUUAUUCUUAAAGCACAACUGUUGACCCUAAAAACUACAAAGCCUACGUGGCGCGCAGGCCGAGUAAUUAAUGAGCUAACUACGUCCUUCGGUGAAUGCGGGGCGUGCCAACUCGUCGGCCGAGCUCGGCCGAGGAGUAAAUUUGUUGAUGUUGCGUUGGGUCGCGCUACUGACUUCUGCGUCUUGCCAUUGCGGCCGAGAAAGGAACACGUCUCGGCCUCUUGGGCUCUCGAACCUGAAGACAAGGUUACUAUUCUUACGAAGUUCAAAAUCAAAUUCGGCUUUCAAUGUGCCGAAUGUAAUAACUGUAACACCUCACUUCGCCGAGAAGGCUGAUGAGAUGACCUCGACCAAUAAGGAUUUAGAAACCCUUCUCGACCGAGACUUGGAUAGGUAAUCAAUCGUUCUCGCCGCAGUGCUGUUGAUGCCAACGGAAGGUACUGCGAGACCGACUGACUCUACAGUGACAGAGCUAUCUAUGCCGACUUAAGAUAUCACCGGUUGCUUCCACAGUGCUGUUGAUGCCAACGGAAGAUGUGUCAGUGAAAAAGGAAAAAGAAAAAUCACAAGUUGUGAGAGUUUGCGCAGGGCAAUUUUGUAUUGAUUUUGUGGGUCUCGUUCCGUUGCCACUGCCUCUCUAUUUAUAGAGCUAACUUAGCAUAAAACCCGGCCGUGACCAUCAAUCACCACCACAAAUAAUAAUCGUUACGCGAGGAUGAUUAUCCAAUGAGAAUCGUAGCACUCAAAUCUCUUUGGUGCUAACGCAUUUCAGCCAAAACCACAUAACAAAUCAUGGCAUGCCAAUUCCGUCUUUUGCUAAAGAUAAGCAUUGUCGUUCAAAUCCUAGUCCCAAAGCCCUGGCAUAUCAAGCUUUAUCCAUAGGAUAUUCACUUCACCUAUUUGGCAACCUUGAAUUUGCUAAUAAUUAUCCCAUGCAUGCAUCACAUUAGCUUACGUAAUUAAUCUUUCAAGUUGGACUCCACCUUGAUCACCAACUGAUGCCACCACGUGCUAGGACUCUUCUCAUAAUGCAUGAUGCUUAAUCCCCGCGUCGAAUGAUAAGAAUCCCACAUUAAAUCGAACUGUUCUGCUUGCUUCGGUAUAGUUUGCGUCACAUUUAUCUUGUAUAAAAAGUGUCAAGAUAAUUCAUUAUUAAAAGAUCAUUAUUAUGAUUAAAAAUCAUAAUAUUAUCCCCUAACAACAAUAAAAUUAUCUUAACUUUCCUAUCCGACGGUGUGGAGCAAUGCUCACUCAACGGCCUUGAUCGCACGGGCCGAUGAUGUAAAUUGAGGUCCAAACAACAACAGAAGCAGUUUUAAAAAUAAGAACAGCAAUCCCAAACUGGCCCUUAGUCGAGGCGAGUCCUCCUUUGUCCCAUUGAACUUAGUCCUGCCAGUGAACAAACACGGAUUACACUACCUUUUAACUUAAGCUAGUCCAGUGAGAGCUAAAAAGGCAAACAAACAUCCCCUUAAUCGUUUCUGUACAGAGACUGCUAAAGAAACAGCAUGAUCAAAAUCAAAGAAUCAUGAGGCGGCCCCAGCAAGCCCCUCAGCGGCUCUACGUCCCUCCGUCGUCGCGCGACGGAAACAGCCACGACAACUACGAAGACACCGACCUCGACAACAUCGAUUACGACGACAACGAUGGUUCCAAGGACCCCGGGAGUGACGACAACAACCACGGCAACGCUGGCAGCGGUGAUGAAGAAGUCGAUCCUCUGGAUGCUUUCAUGGAGGGGAUUCAUGCGGAGGUGAGGUCAGCUCCGCCGCCGAAGCUGAAAGUGAAGGCCGAGAAGUACAGGGACGAUGAGGAGGAGGAUCAUAUGGAGAGGUUUCUGAGGGCUAAAAGGGACGUGGUGCUCACGCUGGCAUCAGAUGCUUUACACACCAGAUAUGACUCCGAUGAAGAGGUAUAUGCGACCGCCAAGGCCGUCGAUGCCGGGUUGUUGGAGUACGAUUCAGAUGAUAAUCCCAUUGUUCUGGACAAGAGGAAGAUCGAGCCGAUUUCAGCUCUCGAUCAUAGUUCAAUCGACUACGAGCCGUUUAAUAAGGAUUUUUACGAGGAGAAAGAGUCGAUUUGAGGUAAAUUCCAACCGAACUGAGAAUUUGGUUUCUUUCUUUUUUUCUUUCCAUUCACAUUUGUUUUUUAAAUUUUUGUGUGAAUUUAGUCGAAAUGCGUAGCAAAGUAUUUAAAUUUAAGUGGGAGAGAAUAUUGACCGGUAGAAGUUCUCAAGGAGAGAUUUGAAAUGGAAGACUAGAGUUAACUGGUGUUUUGGUUUCCUUGUUUAGGGAUGAGUGAGGAGGAUGUUUUUUAGUACAAGAAGAGCUUGGCCAUCCGUACGUCGGGGUUUGAUGUACCGAGGCCAGUUAAGACAUUUGAAGAUUGUGGAUUUUCUUCACAACUCAUGGCUGCCAUAAAAAAACAAGACUACCAAAAGCCGACACCAACACAAUGCGUAGCUCUACCCAUAGUUCUUUCCCGGAGAGAUAUAAUUGGUAUUGCGAAAACUGGUUCUGGAAAGACUGCCACUCUUGUCCUUCCAAUGAUUGUCCACAUUAUGGAUCAGCCAGAGCUUCAAAAAGAAGAAGGUCCAAUUGGAGUGAUAUGCGCUCCUACUAGAGAGCUGGCGCACCAAAUAUACUUAAGAGUCCAAAAAAAUUGCAAAAUCACAUGGGAUACGUAUCUCUGCUGUAUAUGGUGGAAUGUCUUAAGCUUGAUCAGUUCAAAGAACUUAAGGCAGGAUGUGAAAUAGUUUUUGCUACUCCUGGGAGAUUGAUCGACAUGCUUAAAAUGAAGGCACUGACAAUGCUUAGGGCAACUUACCUAGUACUUGAUGAGGCUGAUCAGAUGUUUGACCUUGGGUUUGAGCCUCAAAUUAGAUCUAUUGUUGGUCAGAUUCGGCCAGACCGACAGACAUUGCUCUUUUCUGCGACAAUGCUCCGUAAAGUUGAAAAAUUGGCUAGGGAGAUUCUCUCAGAUCCUAUAAGAGUUACAGUGGGUGAGGUGGGAAUGGCCAAUGAGGAUAUCACUCAGGUUGUUCAUGUAAUUCCUUCUGAUGAUGAGAAGCUGCCCUGGCUUUUUGAGAAGUUACCAGGAAUGAUUGAUGAGGGUGAUGUUUUAGUAUUUGCUUCAAAAAAAGCUGCAGUGGAUGAGAUCGAGUCACAGCUUGCUCAGAAAGGUUUUUAAGUCACAACUCUGCAUGGUGACAAGGACCAAGCAUCUCGGAUGGAUAUUUUGCAAAAAUUUAAAUCUGGCAUUUACCAUGUUCUUGUUGCAACUGAUGUUGCUGCUCGUGGUCUUGACAUCAAGUCAAUUAAGUCAGUUGUGAACUUUGAUAUUGCAAAAGACAUGGACAUGCACAUCCAUUGAAUUGGUAGAACAGGUCGGGCUGGUGAUAAGGAUGGCACUGCGUACACUCUUAUUACACAGAAAGAGGCACGUUUUGCUGGUGAGUUGGUUAAUAGCUUGGUUGCUGCUGGUCAGAUUGUCUCCACGGAGCUCAUGGACCUUGCGAUGAAGGUAAUUUUGCAUUACUAUUAACAUUUUUUUUUUGUGGUUUAUAUAGCGAGUUUAUACAUGCAUCCAACUACUUGCCUUUUUGUUUUAGAGAUGGUGGUUAUAACCUUAGUUUGUAAUCCUAUAAUGCAUUUAAGGCGAAUACAAGUUAUUAAUAUGUUCUCUGGUAAAACGUGCUCUUUUUAAUGCAAUAUGGAUUCUGGACAAUUACACCUACUGGUGUUUGUCUCACAAAUAAACUACGUUAUCUUCACUCUACUAUAUAGGUGCAUAGGUUGCUUCUGAUUUAGAGUGCGCUUUCGAGAGAGAUGGAUUUGAUGACCAUUUGGUCUUCAAGGCCUUAUUUUGGAAAGCUUUAGUAUGUCCUUGGAAUUACAGGGAUCUUGAGAUCGUUGACUUCAUAACGUCAAGAUAGUCAAUUUCAGGAAAUGUGCUUAGUUUAGGGAGAGAGUAAUUAGACAGUCUUUAGUAGUCCCAUCUUUACUUCAUACCAUGCUCUGCUUAGAAAAGGGGUUGUUGGGGGUGUAUGUUGGCUUGUUGGGUUGUGGAUUGAAGCAUAGAGAUGACUUGAAGAUGAAGCUCAGUCUGGGGACGUAAUAACUUUUGUGUAUUAUUAAGUACUCGCUUGCAUUCUGGGCUACCAAUACAUCGGUUGAGGCCAACCAAUUUGCAUUUAAGAACUAAGAGAAAAAUCGCAUUUUAAGUACUAAAUCUUAAUUACCACAUGGACCCUUAGUAAAUUGUCACUUAUUUUCCCUUGUGCCAAUAUAUCUCAUAGACAUAAAUGCACAGCUUAUCAUGAUAGGUGGCUGCACCUGCAUUAGUUUUAGAAGUUUUACACUAUGAGAGCCACUCAUGCAUCAUUUCUUCAGUCUUGUGACUUUUAAUUCUUGCCUUGCUGCUUGUAGCUUUGUAUUUUAUAUCCAUCAUAAAUACACUGGUUUCCAUCUCCUACAUGGAUGUGCAGUUAUUUUGGGUGCACCUUGUCUGUGGAACUUUUGUUGCUUUCCCUUACUAUGUUUCUUGUUUGAUAGCUUUAGAUGUUAUGUUAGAUUUCAGAUUUUACAUUCUCUAUUUUAAUGGGAUUUACCUUGUUUAUUAUCAGGAUGUUAGAUUCAUAUCAAAAUGUGAUUCAAGAAAAGGAGUUAUAAACUUUAAUCAUAUUAAAAUUUCAAUUUUCUUAAGGUUCUUUUGCAAUUUCAUAUUAAAUAAGCCUUUUUCUACAAUUCAAAUGAUGAUAUUAUAUGGAUUCUGCAGGUGGAAAGAAAGGUAGAGGGAGGGGCGGCGGUGGUCGAGGUGUGCGUGGGGUGGAUUUUGGUCUGGGUAUUGGAUAUAAUACGGAGUCCAAUAGUUCUUCAUCGAAUACUGUUCCUAGUCGAUCUGUUGCAGUAACUCCUCAGAGGACAGGAAUGAUGUCUCAGUUCAAGACUAAAUUUGUUGCCGCUUCAUCUAACUCUCCAAGUCAAGGUUCAGCUAACAGCUCUAGUGUGCCCAACAGACAGGCAUUACGAGGAUUUGUAUCCGGUGGUUCAAUAGGUGGUGAUGUAUAUAGAACUCAGGCAACCAGUACAAUUACUCCUGCUCCUGCUCCAACAUCAAUGGUAAAUAAAACUGCUACUCCGAACACUGGACAAAAUUCAAGUCAGAAACCCUCCGAAAGGUUAAUUAAACUGAUGCUUGGUUAGAAUUUUUUAUGUCUUUACUUAUUUGAUUGGUGUUGAGCAGUUUCAUUUGUGCCGAUUGCAGUUCUAGAGAUAAACCCAGAGAAAGGCGGAGGCGCUCCGUUUGGGACUGUUAACCGUACAGUUGAACUACACCACUCUCGCAUAAUGAAUUACAAGUUUUACUUUUGUUGUAGGUCAAGUCCUGAUAUUCCUAUAUUAUUGUUGAUCUUUGUCACUUUCUUUGUCGCUCUGUUUAUAAGUUAAAAGAAACAGAAGAUUUUGUAAACUCAGAUCGACUUGUUGCACAAAUAGUGGAUGAUUUAAAACAUAGACUGUUCGUAUCAUUAAAAUACGUUAUGAAGUAGAUUCUACAAAAAGUUGUGCCGUGUAAAAAAAAUUGUGAUGUUUCACAUGUGCUCCGUAUGUUAUUUAUAUUAAUCAUUCUGAAUUACAUCAUAACUCAACGACUUGGUAUAUAAUACAAUAAGGCCUUGUUGGAUGUCAAUGAUUUGAUUGGUUAUGACUGGAUUAGAUUGGCUUAGUUUGGAAAAUUCACUAGAUUCAGUGAAUGUUGAAAGAAAAUAUGGAUUGCUAUUUUGUUCAAGUGAAGAUGGAAGAGAAAAAGAAUAAGACAAGUAUAACAAAUCAAAUAUUGACGGAGCAUGCAUAGGUUUUUAAUUACAACUAUUCGUCAAUUGGUGCUUAUAAUUUUUGGUUUUAAAUGCUAUUAUCUCUUAAAUAAAAUAAUUAUGUUGCUUUAGUCUCCUCAUCGUAUUAUACGUGUCGAAUUCGUGUGAAGUCUGGUGGGACAAGAGAGAGAUAAGGAGGUUGACUUUGAUCAAUUGACCUCCUUUCCAUAGCCAUUUUUCUUUACCUUCAUCCCCUUACACAAAGUCCAUUCUUAAGAUCUCUAGUUCUCUCUCAAUGGCUGCUAAAAGUUCCCGAGAUUCUUCUUCGUCCUCUUACCAGUGUUCCUAUCAUGCCUUCUUGAGUUUCAGAGGCCAGGACACGCGCAGGGGCUUUACUGAUCACCUCUAUAGAGCUUUGGAGCUAGCAGGAAUCCACACCUUUAGAGACGAUGAUGAAAUCAAGAGAGGGGAGAAUAUUGAGUCGGAGUUAGAGAAGGCGAUAAAGGAGUCACAAGUAUCCAUAAUUGUCUUCUCCAAGGACUACGCUUCCUCAAGGUGGUGUUUGAACGAACUUCUGAAGGUCGUGGAACGUAGAAAUACUGAUCGUAGACAUGUGGUUCUGCCAGUUUUCUAUGAUGUGGAUCCAUCCGAUGUCAGGAAGCAGAGUGGUACUUUUGCUGAAGCAUUUGCCAGACACGAGGAGCGAUUCAGUACGGAGGAGAUGGACAAGGUGGAGCUGUGGAGAAGAGCUCUUAGACAUGUUGCAAGUUUGGGAGGCAUGGUUUUAGGAGAUCGGUAAUUUCUAUUCUCAUUAUGUUCUCACGCUAAUUGAAAGUGUCUUUUAAAUUAAGUAAAAUUGUAGAUGGCAGUGAAACUUGAAGUUGUUCGCCUAUAUAUACUGCAACUUUGAUUUAUAUGUUCCUAUCGAUUCAAAUGAAUUACAGGUAUGAGGGGCAGUUCAUCCAAGAUAUUGUUGGAGAGAUUAGAAAUAAAGUGGAUCACGUAGCUUUAGACGUCGCUCCCUUUGCAGUUGGAAUGGAUGCUCGUGUGAGACGCCUAAACAUGUGGUUACAAGAUGGAUCAAAUGAUGUUGGUUUAGCUGUCAUCUGUGGGAUGGGUGGAAUUGGCAAGAGCACCAUCGCGAAAGCCGCUUAUAACCGCAACUUUGAUAGAUUUCAAGGUAGCAGCUUUCUUGCAGAUAUACGAGAAUCUUCAGAACAACCCAAUGGUUUUGCUCUCUUGCAAAGAAAACUUCUUUCAGAUAUCCAAAACGGGAAAGCAAAGAAAGUAUACAAUAUGGAUGAAGGAACAAUCAGGAUCAAACAAGCCGUAGGUUAUAAAAAAGUUCUUAUUGUUCUUGAUGAUGUGAGCAACCGGGAUCAACUCAAUGCAAUUCUUGGAAUGCGAGAGUGGCUUCAUUCAGGAAGUAAAAUUAUCAUAACAACUCGACAUGAACAUUUGUUAAAUGCUCACGAUGUUUUUGAAAAGUUUAUGGUUCAAGAACUGAAUGAGUACGAAUCACUUGAGCUUUUCAGUUGGCAUGCCUUCAGACAAUCCCAUCCGGAAGAAGGUUACAAGGAGCUUUCAAGACAUGUGGUGCAGCACUGUGGAGGGCUUCCUGUAGCUCUUCAAGUUCUGGGAUCUUCUCUAUCUGGAAAAAGUGUAGAAGUAUGGCAAAGUGCAUUGCAGAAGUUAGACGUGAUCCCUAAUGACAAAAUUCAAAAAGUUCUGAGGAUAAGUUUUGAUUCUUUACAGGAUGAUCAUGACAAAAAUUUAUUCCUUCAUAUAGCCAGUUUCUUCACAGGAAAGACGAUGGAUUAUACAAGUACAAUGUUGGACAGCUUAAAGUUUUACACAAGGAUUGGGAUUGAAAAUCUAGUUGACAGAUGCCUAGUGAAAAUUCAAGGCUCGAACAGGUUGUUGGUCAUGCAUCAAUUGGUGAGAAACAUGGCAAUGGAAAUUAUUUGUGAAGAAUCACCUGAUGACCCUGGAAAACGUAGUAGAGUGUUGCAGAAAGAUGCCUCUAAUAUUUUGAGAAAAUUAAGUGUAAGAACUAUGUUUUCAUGUAUAUGUAUUUUUAGUUAUGAUUUGUUGUCCAGUACUAGUUAUAUACUUAUUCAAUGCUCUGAUUUGUUAGCAGGGUACGGAAAAUAUUAAGGGCCUCAUGCUUAACCUUGCUAGCAAAAUAACGUUUGUUGGAUGUCAUAAAAAACGAUGCCAUGAUGAAGAUUAUGAUGGAAAUUGUUCAAGACGACGUCGUCUUGGUUUCUUCUCUUGGAAGCCAGUUAGCUUUCCGUCCACAAACUCAGCUUCUGCAUCAAAUGAGAUAGAUUUCAAAUCUGAGGCGUUUAGAAGGAUGCACAAUCUUGAAAUUCUCAUGCUCAACAACGUCAACGUCAGGGGAAGCUACGAAGAAUUUCCAAAAAGUUUAAUAUGUUUAUCUUGGAGAGGAUUCCACUUAAAAUCAGUACCAGAAAAUUUUUAUUUGGAAAACCUGGUUGUUCUUGACAUGCGAAAUAGUAGCCUACAACAUGUUUGGAAUGGGAUCAGGGUACGUAACUCUCUCUCUCUCUCUCUCUCUCACUCACUCUCACACACACUUUCUCUCACACAUGUCCAUUAUAUCUUCUUAGAAAUUGAUUAAUACUUCUUAUUGAAAACAGUUCUUUCCGAGGCUGAAGAUUCUUAAUCUCAGUCAUUCGCAUGGCCUUAGGACAACCCCUGACUUCUCAGGACUCCCUAACCUUGAGAGAUUGAUUCUUAAACAUUGCAUAAAUUUGGUUGAGGUUGAUGA